UCUUGUGCGGUUCAGGUCGGGUCGUCGAGGCCUGAUUCAAAACGACGUCGUUUUGGGAUUUAUGGACUCAGGCCAGAACAAUGUCGUUCUGACCCUCUAUUUAAGUUAAAAAUCCGAAAAAAAAAAUCAUUUCAGCUUAGUUUAAAAAAAAUGAAAACCCUCUUUUUUUUUCUCUGAAAGCCAUUCCCCAUCCGGCCAAGAACCGUUGGACCCUCAUCGUGGCCGUCGGCCGCCAACGACUCCCAAAAUCCCUUUUAAACCCCCUUUUAGCCUAGAACCCCAAUUUGGAGUCGAACAUUCUAGAUUCAAGCCAAAACUCUCAAAAAAGAGAAGACCUUUCAACUCUCGAUGCCCUCCGCCGCGGCCUUGGCUGAAUCCCCAGGGAUUCGACGGCCUUUCAGACCAGAGGGGACACUGACUGUGGCGCGAAGGCGAAAAGGCAAGUAAGGUUUUAAUUUUUUUUAUUAUAUUUUAUUUGCUUCGAAAGUAAAAAUCAGAAGAUAAAAAAAACUACCUUUUUGAAACUUGAUGCUUUUUUUGUAUUUUUCUAUAAAAAAAAAGUUACAAUAUGUGGUAUUGGCCUUUAUAGUCAUGAGUUACAUAUUGCUUGUUAUUAUUUUUAUUUGUUUUUUGCACUUUCUUCGCUAUUUUCUUGUUGUUUUUGCUUCUGUCUUUUUUUUUUCUUUGCAAGUGGCGGUGGAGGGUCAACAGAGAGGAAAGAAGCCUGCCCUUUGCCAUUUUGGUGAAACGAAGGCAAAGGCGCAUCAGGCCUCGAGACGAGGAGCAUGCUGACGUGGCCAAGGGCAGCGGCACAGGGGCUUUAGGGUUUUUUAUUUUUACUGAAAAAUGUUUAGGUUGUGGGCCCGUAAUUAAGUCUUAGGGUUUUUUUAAUUCAGCCUUGUAAUUUGGGCUGACAUGUUUUGUAAUUGGACUUUUGAUUUGUUUUUGGUUUUUCUUUUUGUUUGGUUUCUGUUUGGGCCCGGGCUAAAUUGGGCCUCUACAGCUACAAUAGCAACGGUACCAACUGAAUUAAAACUUAAGAGGUGGUUAAAUAUAUAUUAAUUUAUAUGGAAUUAAUUCGAACCAUAUAAGACAUUAGAUUAUGGCACACCCACAAUAUGGGUGAAAAACAUAAUUAUGUCAAAUAUAUUCAUAAAAAAUAAUAUAAACUAGAAAUCCUAUUACACUUGUAUGUGUGUGGAAACCACAAAUUUAGAACACAAACACGCAGGGCCUCGACCCCUCCCCCCCCAAAAUAGAAAUUUUAUCAUUUUGGCCCUUUAAAUUUUUAAAAAUUUUAAAUUAGUAAAGGUAAAAUUGUACUUUAGCCCCCUAAAAAUUAUAAAAAUUGAUUUAAUCCUUUAAAAAUUAUAAAGAUAUAGACAAUAUAAUUUGGCCCCCCUAAAAUUUAACAAAAACUUUUGAAUAGUUUAGUGACUUAAAUGAAAACUUUUGAAUAGUCCAAUGAUCAUUUUGUAACUUUUUAAAGUUGAGUGACCAAAACAUAAAAUUACUAUUAGUUUAAUGACCUUAGAUGCAAUUUACCCUAAAAUGAAAAAAAAAAUGAUCCACUUUCUUGCAUUCUCUUUUUUUCUCCUUUUACAUCUACUUUCUUAUCAUUCAUUUAAGACUAUAUAUCUAUGUCGCCUAUAUAAUUUAUGUAAAUCCCUUUUGGUCAAAGCAACCAACAUAUUGUCAAGAAUUAAAGAAAGCAUCAAAAUUAAAGUUCCAUAAACUUCAAGCUAACCUUGACCAUGUAGCCAAGUGGAUUGGCAAAUUAUACAAGUGAUUAAAUAAAAAUUCAUUGAACUUUCACUUGAAAGAGAUAGCUCUACCAUUCAAGAAAAUAGUUUUUGCAAGAGAUAAUGGCCCAUAAUAAACUAUCGAUCGAUCCUCUAAUGUAGAGAAGUACUUAUUUUUUAGGGCAGUCUUAGUCAAGUUUAGAACUUGUUGAGAAUGGUAUACUCAGUUAAAUGAUGAAUCUUUUAUUACAUCCAAUAUCAAAGUUCUCAUGCUUGAACGUUUCUCUUUUUUUAGUAGUCAUUUCGAGCUAUAAUAUUGGCUAAUUGACUUCUAAUGGAUGGUUUAAAGAACCAACUCAAGAAUUAUUGGUUUUUUUUUUUAAUUUCCUGGGUUCAUUUUAGUCCGAAAUUCAUGAUUGUCUCUCCUAAUAAUGUUAUCUCUAAAGUUUGAACUUGGGUUCUCUUCUUGAGAGUACAAUGUACUCAUCAUUACACCCGACAUUUGUUAGCUACAUUAAAAAGAAAAGGAAAAGUGGAUAAAAUUUUGGGUAUCAUAUUUCCAUUUGGUUCUUCAAAUGUUGGAAACUUGGCAUAAAGACCUAUUCAAUUCAGCCAAGUAAAAUAGCUCUCUUUUUUUUAUUUUUUGGAUAAAGAAAACCCUUUCAACAUCCACUCAUGUUACCAUUCUUUUCCUCCAUCUUGAUGGUUAUUUAAGCUAAAAGUUCUUCAUAACUCUAGGUAGCCUUUCCAACCAAAAAUAAUACCAAUCUUUUUUGUUGCAAUGCAAAAAUCCAAAGGCUCUUUUAUUUUCCACAUUUUAUGUAUUCCACUUUUUAAUGAAAAGAGGAUUAAAAAAAGAAAUUGAGGUGACAUUUAUUUAAAGCAUAGCAAAGCACUUGUUUCCCUCAUUGCUUACUAGAAAAAAAGAAGGGUUUUGAGUUAAUUUCCUUGACCAAAAAGCCUUCAAUUAUUAAACCUCAUUCAAAAAAAAGUUUUGGUCAAAGAUGAUCUCUUUAUCUCCUUCCAAAUUGAAUCUCCUUAAACCACUCCUGCAUUCUCCUUUAUGGCUUUUCUCCUUUUGUGGUUUGAUUAUUUCUUUUCUUAUUAGAUUAAAGUAGAAAUUAGUAUUAAAAUAGAGAUUAUGCACAAUGAACAAAUCUAUUGUAUUAUUAGAAAAAAAUCUACUUAGACACAAUUAAAGAGUGAAAUAAAUGAUUGUAGGUGUUGAUAAUUAAAUUUUAAAAUUGAUUAUGUUGAUCACUAAUAAGUGUUGGGUGUAAUGACUACGUUAAAUUGUACUUUAUAACUAGUCAGAUUAACGGUGAUGGUAAUGUAACAUCUUAUGAUGUGACGUCUUAGAAUAGUUAGUAAUCAAUGAUUCUGGGCUUCCUCACGUGCACCUCACAUAUGUUUGGCAAAGGUGGGUACUAUAUGAGGUUCGCCUCUAGUGAGGUGGAUACGCAUGAUUCGCUAGAGGGUCGACUCUUCGCUGGAGGACACGUGUUAAGCUUCACAAGGGGCACGUAUUGGAGUUUGCAAUGUAGGUAUAAUAGCACUUUUAAAAAGAGAACACAAAGUCAAAUCUGGAGUUAAUCCAUAUGACCUUUGGUCACAGCUAAUUGCUAAUUUGCUAAUAGCUUUAGAAGACAGAAUAGAGUUUAAUGAGGAAAGAAAUUUUAGUUGGUGGGUUUUAUUCUUCCAAGUUCAGAAAAAUGCUUACCACAUGAUUUAGCUAAGUAUAUUUGUAUGUUUAAAGAAAAAGGUAAUUGACCCUUACAUCUCAAGCUCUUUUUUCUUUUUAAUUUUACCCUAUUAACGGAUUUUAUUUUGUUUAUAUAAUUCAAGAAUAUAAUCUAUACUAUUAUAUUAUUAUUUUAUAUAAAAGGAAAACCCAAAAAGAUUCCCUACAUGACACGUGUCUAGGAAUUUUUUUAUAGGUAAAUUUUGGAAUUAGUCACUCAACUAUGAAAAUUUUUAAUUUAAUCACUAAUGUUUUAGAUCAUUUCUAUUUUGGUCAUGGCCUUUGUUAAUCGGUAUAAUAACACAUUUAGUUUUCAAUACUUACACAUUCUAUCAAUCUAAUCCUCAAACACAUAUAAUUAAAUAUAGAUUAUACUUGAACAUACAAUUUCAACUAAAAACUUCAACAUAAGUCUUAAUACUUUAACUACAAUUCCAACUGUCAAUCCACGGAUCUUGUGUAUACUUUGUCGUCUGGCUUAGAUUAUGAUAAUUUUGUUUCCAAUGUUCCAAGUUGUUUAAAUGGCUCUAACUGAAUUUCAAUAAAAAUAAAUUAAACGAGCUUGAAUUAUCAGCCCCUGCUAUGAGUUGAUUAUGAUGACAAUUUAACUAUACAAGUUUUUUGUUUGGUUCAAAUUAUAGAUGUUUUGUAAACAUUAACUGAGUUGCAAGUUAUGUUGUUCUAAGUUGAAACAUAAUAUAAAUACACAUGUAAAAUAUAAAAAAAAAAAAUUAAAUCAAUAUAAAGUCAUCCUACAUUAAUGCAUUUCCGACCAGUAAGUGUUGAAUACAGGACAAAACACAUUGCACUCCAAAAAAAAACGCAAAUUCAAACUUUGAAGAUGAUAUUAUUGAGAGAAGCAGCCAUGAACUCCGAACAAUACCAAAAAGAUAAUUCAAUGCAUUUCCUAACCUUUCAUAGAAAGUUAUGAAGCAUAACAACCAAAUAACUGAAUACUAUCAAAUCUGCAAAAAUGGGGUUCUAGAAUCUUCAAAAAAAUAAAAUCUAGAAAACCUAAGAGCCUUGAACAUUGUCACCAACUCAGUUUCAAGAAAAAUAUAACUCAUUGCUACAGCUAAUCUAUAAUUCAAGGUUCAAACUCAAAAACUCAAGUACAAUUACAAUUACCAUGUCCUUUUCAAGAUCAGUAAAGCCUUACCACCUAUUAUUUGGUGGUUUAACUUUAUAAAUACGAACUAUCCAGUUAGACGUCGUAAAUGCCUCUUCCAAGUGUUCUAGUUUAAUGUCUUUAUUCCCGAUUUCAACACCUCGAGCUCGAUCAUAGCUGCCGUAUCAAGAAGCAAUUGUGGGUAUUUUUUUUUUAGCAAUGUAACUAAAAUAGACAUGUAUUGUGUGGUAAAGUACCAUGGGCAAUUUAAUCCAUAUACAUUAAAUUAAAGAGUAAAUUGGUCCUUUCCGUUAAAAAUUUUAUCUAUUUAUUCUGUUAAAACUAACGUGGCUGACAGAAUAACCAGUGACAUAUGACGUGCCAUGUGCACCUCAUAUUGACGUACAAGGUCCAAUUUUUAACAGCAGAAAUGGAUGGAAUUUUAACAAAAAGACUUAUUUGCUCUUUAAUCUAAUGUAUAGGGACUAAUUUUCUCAUUUCUUAAGUAGAGGGGUAAAAUGCAAUCUAACUAGCCUACAUGUUGCUAUUACCUAUAUUGUGUGCAUAUUUGAUAUUUUAGUACAAGCAAGUUGAAAAUGCCAACUUACCCAGGAGGUUUGCCAUAUUCUGUCAUCAUCUCUCCGAACCGAUAGUACGAUAGCUUGUACCUAAUCACAUAAGUACGUAUAUGCAUGAAGAAUUUAGAACACAGAGGCAUUAGAGAGUGCUAAAGUAUGAAUAUAAACCAUCUGAGAACUUACAUGAGGCAGUUCAACAUCUUAGGAGCUGCACCUUUGUCAACGCGAUAUUCCCCAUUAACGAGGUAAUCAGGUUCCUUGAUUACGGGGAAUACUCCACCUCCAAUUCUCACCAUCCACAAAAAUCUGUUUCACAAUAAAAUGUAAUUCGAAUACAAUUACAUUAGUAUAGAUUAUAAACUUAAAUGUAAAUAUUGUCUAGACAAAUGACCAUUGACAAUGAUUUUCAAAUUCUAGAUGGUGGCAUGUAUAGUUAAUAACAGAUAUGGCUUCCUGUUCUUUUUUCAUCUUUCUCAGCUCAUGUUGGGCAGAUUUUUAUACAAUCUCUUAUGUUAGGCACACCAGACAUCUACAAUACCCGGACUUGGGGAUGAGUGCCAAAUACAGAUACAUGUCUAACAUGAGCAUGCUCAACUAUCCAAAUAUGAAUAGUGCGAAUGUUAAAGCAAAAAAUCAAGAACAAUGAACCAUUCAAUGCAUCUUUCACAAGGCCUAAUGUUUUGCAGAUAGACAAAAAUAAUGAAUGGAAUAGGAGAAAAUGAUUUCCAAUCUUACUUGUUAAUAUCAUCAGAUGAAUAACCCGUAACACCUCCGAAGACAACUAAAACAUAAUCCACAUCAAGUGAUCUUAUUAUCUCAUAUGCCUCGUCUUCAUAAGAUGACAUCGCACGCCCCACAGUAGCAAUAUGUGUAUUAUUCCAAGUGUUGUUAUCAACAAUAACAGUUCUGUUUCCCAUGGCAGUGAUUUGAUACCCGUAAUCCCACCAAGACAUCACCUUAGCAUCCGGGGGAGUAUUUUGCCGAAGCCAAAAGUAUGCCUCACGAUAAUCAUCAAAGAUAACUCUAUUCCCAUGAGCACCUCUUGCAGCCAGCACAAUUGAAGGAGAUGAAUAAGCCUCUGAAGUGACCCAUGUACAGUGGGUAGCAUACCUACUGAGCAAGUAAAAAGCACCAAAGAGCAAUGCCAUAGCUCCAUUUUUCUGGAAAGGCUGGGAUUGAUCGAGUGAAGCCUAUUUGGAAAAUAAACAAGAUUGGUUAUUUAUAGGGUACACUUGCAAACAAACCAAAAGGACCUAGAAACAUAAACUCCAUGCAUUUUCUCAAAACUCUUCUAGCGGUCCAAAAACCAUUAGGACAUGUAUAUAUAAAACUGCAUAUGAUGAAUCAGAAGCCACAAGGCAUUAAUACAAAAACUGGAAUUCAAUGUUUUAGAAGCUUUUUCAAGAGACUAAGAAAACAAAUGACAGUCAAUGGCCAUUAAUUUGGGGCAAAAGCUGCUGCUUGAUUUAAGAAACAGUUAUCUGAUUAUUAAAAAUAAAGCAUUACUUGCUAAAUGGAGUUGGAAGUUUGCUGUUGAUCAGAAGGAUUCUUUAUGAAAAAGAGUCAUUAUGGCAAAGUAUGGUUCAGAAAUGGCUUCCAGAGGAAACACUCAGAUCAACUUAGUUGACACUAAGUACUUCAUUUUACUUCCUAAUCUAGAGUGAGAAUGAUUCAUAAGACAAAAUAUAUAAGACAUGGAAGAAACAGAUAACUAACUUUUGAUGCAAGAGCAGAGGCAUCUGUUAUCCAUGUUUCUCAACCAUAUUAUCAUGAACUUAGGAAUCCAAAUAAUACUAGUUAGCUCAUAAGCUUAUUAGAGAGAAUAUUACUUUAAAAGCAAUAAAUAAAGAACUCGAGUUCUCUACAAAAUUGAUCCACAAAACAAUAUAAAUAAAUAUCAUUUAAGCAUGCGGCAAAUAUAAGUUCAAUCCAGCUUCCCUGUUUUAAUUAUAUAUAUGUAAAGAAAAGCAAGUUCAAAACUAAAGAAACCUUUAAAUAAGCUACCAACUGUGACGUACUCAAUCACCAAAAUAUGGAAGUUAACUAAAAUAGAAGGAAAUAGUUGUCAGAAUUUAUAUUCCAUUAGUCACCUUACUACAAAAUCCAGAGAAAAGUAAACCAAUGGAUCAAUUAUAAAUAUCUAGAAUGUCCUUAAUUAGUGCCAUUAAUGAAACUCUUUCCAUAAUCUUUUAUGGCACAAAAUCUAAGUGAUUUUGAUUUACAUAACUUCUACCCUAUAACACUGAAAGCGUAAUGUCACACUGGGAUGGAAAGGAGAAGCAAGAAAUAGAAAAGUGCAGGAGGAAUCGGCAAAGGACCUUCUUCUAUUUUGGAGCUUUGAGCAAAAUAGAUAUUUCCAAAAUAACUUGGUAAAAGAUACAAAAACGUUAAAUAAAAAAUAGGAAUCAGAACUAAUAGAAGCUACUUCGGGCCUUUCGCCGGAUUGUCUGUAAGCUGUGAUUUCAAAAUCACAAUAAAAAUGCAGUAAUUGAUGGAAAGAGCUCCCACAAACAGCUUAGUGGGAUUAUUAGGCCUUACAUUAGUAACAACAAGCUUCCUAAUCAAGUUCUCUCAUUUCACACGUAACAUUAGAAAAUGAUAGAAACUCUCUAAGAAAAGUUCAUUAAAUGUCCAAAGUAACUAAAUGAUGCUACUGAAUAUGCCGGAAAAAGGCAGAAUAACUGGCUAAUUCAACAAUAAUGUCUAAAAUAAGUCAUUAUCAUCAAUGCAUUACAAAGCCAUUCUGUAAACAGAGUAAUAACAAUAAUAAUAAUAAUAAAUGAAAAAAACAAUGGACCCUUACUAGUUAGCAAAGAAAGUGCAUUAAAACCAAUUCUUAUUACUACAAAUGUCAGUGUUCUGGGUCUUUUUUUCUUAGACGAAGGACCACAAGCAUUGUUAUUUCAGUAGCAUAAACUCAAAUCUAAGGGAAAAGCAGGCAUAUUCAUGUCAAACAACUGAGGGAGAGAUAUCAUAACAGUAAAACUAAAGCAUUACUAAUUUUACAUGCAUUACAAGAGACAAACAAGCAAAAUAUCAGAGGAAGGGAAGAGAAAUAGAGAGACAAUGGCAGGAAAGGAUAACCUUAGAAGAGGCCUUUGCACUGCUAGUUCCUUUAGUGGAACCAAUCUGGGCAACCUUGUUCUUUGACCUCAACAGAACAGUCAAAUUCUUCACAGUGGCAGAAACAGCAAUAGCACUAAUAAGGCAAACUGCAGGUGUAGCAACAAGAAUCAACCGAACCAUGACGCCAGCAAAAUACAUGCUUGUGAGACCAUACAUGACAAUAAAUAUAGUGGCAUCUGACAACCGUUUGAAGCAAAAGUAAAGACCAGCUGGGAAAAGGAAAAGCAGGAUAUGGAAAUCAAACAUGAAAGAUGACCAUGCUGUUGGCUGAUGCUCAGAGACAGAUGCAAUAAUGGGGAUGUGAUCCUUCGCAUAGGUUGGAUCCAACAAAGAGUAAAACCUUCCUGUCCAUGGUGAAAUAUAGCCAGAUGCCACGCCUACUCCCAAAGCAAUACCUCCCGCAGCUACUGCACAGGUCACAGUGAUACUCAAAAACUCUUGAAACAAUUUCGUGUCACUAAGCAUGUGCUUCACCCAAUCCAAAAAGUAGAAAACCUGCACAAGUAGUCCAAAUGAACUAAAUGCAUGUUUUUAUUUCCAGCUUACCACUAACUUCAUAUUACUAAAGACAAAUUUCCCCCCAUUUUCAAGUACUAAUUGCUUAAAGUCUUAAAACUACUAAAAUACUACCACAAGUACAUUUGAAGAGACUAAAAAGAAAUGAAGCUUUGAUAUAAUGUGCAAAACCUGCAUCAAGAAGAAGACACCCAUGGCAGCCAUAUGUUCACCAGAUUGUACAUGUUGAAACCCAACAAAUCGAAUCUGCAUUGCCAGCAACAUUCCCAAAAUAUACAUACAAUUAUAAGCAACAUAUAGCCUCAUGGAAUACCUCCCAGUUAUCAAAAGCACCAAUACAUAAAGUGGGAUUAAGUUAAUAAUAAAAACGUAUCCUCCCCAAGCUGAAACCAUGUAAAAAUAACCAAAAGCCGAAGCUAAACCCCAAGCCAAAGAACCCUUAUUAACGGCCUUCACGAACAAAUAAAACGUGAAAAGCAAAGCGAAAAUGGCAACUCCUUCAUUAUCAUAAGAGCCAGCUACGGACCUAGAUAUGUAACCAGGACAAACAGCAAUCAAAAUCGCAGCAACAAGCCCAGCCCCAGAAUCCCAAAUUUCUUUCCCAAAGAAAUAAGCAACAAGGGUCGUAUUCGAAGCGAAAAACGGAGCCGUUAAAACACAGACUUCACGUAUAUGGACUGCGAAACGAAGGAAAUGAAGGAGGCGAUAAAUGAGGGCGGCGGUGACCAUGAGACCAGGGUAAAGAGUACCACCCACGAUUCGGCCUAAAGGGUACCAGCUUUCAUAGUCGAACCAGUUCCAGAAAUCGUAGAAACCAUGUUGGGUAAGAUACAGGGUAGUACGGUAGUUGAAGUAAGGGUCGAAUUCAUGGAUCAUGGAUUCAUAACGGAGGACAGAGAAGAGACGGGUAAUGAAGGCUAAGAUGUAAACAAGACAGAGGAUUGAGACUCGGAUAAGGAGUUCUUGUUGCUUUGUUUUGAGUUUGAAAGGUUUGAGGAGAUCUGAUGUGGAAGAGUUCGACAUUGUUGGGUUGCUGCAGAUUUUGGGUUUUGGAUUGUUAUAGAAGAUCAUGUCAUGAAAAUGGGGGAAAUGUGGUGAAGAUUCAGCAAAUGGAAGGGAGUGUUUUGAGAUAUACUAUACUUUGUAGUUGACGUAGUUCUUAUCGAACUGCUCUAAAAGUCAAAGCCCUUUUUGGGUAAUUAAUAAAAGGGAAAUUUUUACCUAAAGUCGCUAAACUAUUAAUAAAUUUAAGUUUUGGUCACUUAACUUCAAAUACGGAUUGUUUAUGGUCGUGAUCAAUGGAUUCCAUCGAGUAGGGGUUGGGUUAAGUGUAACGUCGGUACCGCUGUUUUUCAUUCCAAUGGUGCUUCAUCGUUCGCCCAUAACGGAAGCUUCAUUCACGGUUUCUCGAGUUUGCUUCCUAGUAUUUUGAAGCCUCGUAUGGCUGAGCUUAUAGCUAUUCGUGAACUACUCUCAAUCUGACUGUCAAGCUGUUAUCAUGGCUCUUAUUUCGUCAAAGCUACAUCUUUCUGAAUUUGGUGUCAUCCUUUAGGAAUGUGCUUCACUGAGUUUGUCUUUUCAGCGUUUGUCCUUUCGGUGGAUACGGCUAACAGUCGAUAAUGCGGCUCAAAAACUUGCUCAAGUGACCUUAUUCUAUACAUUUCGUCAAACGUGGGAAGACUCCCUACUUUCUUCAGUGUUUUUUAGAUUUGGACCGUUCCAUGUCCAAUACCAAUACCAAUAACGCUAAGUGCAUAGGAUUGGGUGUACGGGCUAAAUCUUUUAGCUUGAGAUUAAUAUUCGGAUAAUGUUAAGGUCUGCUUUUGUUUUUGCCUGUUAUUAAUGAAUUCUACUUUCGAAAAAAAAUUUAUUUUUUUGUAACUUUAUAAUAAUUUUAUAAUUUUUUUAAUAUAUUUUAAAUUUUAAAAAAAUCAUAAAUAUCACUUGCACUGAAAUGUGAAAUGUGAUGAAAAUAACAAAAAAAUUUAUUAAAGUUAAUGGUCAAAAGACUACUUGAGUAUAUUUUUACAUGUCCAACAACCAAUUGAGUUAAAAAAAAAAAUGUGAGGACUUAAUUUAAGUAGAGGUGCUCAUGGGCCGGGCCGGGCCCAUAAAAAAUUUUGGCCCGGCCCAAAAUAUGGGCCUGAAAAUUUUGCCCAGGCCCGGCCCAAGAAAAAAAUCAUAAGCCCGGCCUGGCCCAUUUUUUUAAUAAAUACCAAAAAUUUAUUUUAAAAAUUAAAAAAAAGUAUUUUAAAAAUAUUUUAAAAUUAAAAUUAAAAAAAGUAUUUUGAAAAUAUUUUAAAAUUAAAAAAUUUUAAAAAUAAAUAUAUUUAUUAUAUCGGGCCGGGCCCGGGCCAAAAAAAUAGUGCCCAAGGCCCGGCCCAUUUUCUAAACGGGCCUUGUUUUUUUUUGCCCAAACCCAUAUUUUGGGCCUAUAUUUUUACCCAAACCCUCUCAUAUUUCAGACGGGCCGUCGGGCCGGGCCGGGCCGCCUGGCCCAUGAGCACCUCUAAACUUAAUUGAUUUCUCGAAAGUUGAAAGCCUUAAACCCUUAAAUCUUUAUUUCCUAACUAAAUUCAUAAUUUUUUUUCUAUAACACAUGGAAAAAAAUUGUUACUUAUAAUUUGGUUGUUGAAUUAUAAUUGUUUUUCCAGUUUAUUAUUUAAUUUUUUAUUUUAUUUUAGCACUUGAAUUAUCAUUUUCAUCCUCAUUUACCCUUAAAAGAAAAAAGAUACCAUGAGAAUGUAACACAUGGCCCACUCUUAUUGGACACUAAAAAUUUUAAGAAAAAAAUGAAAUGAAAAUGAUAGUUCAAAUAUCAAAGUGCAUACAAACAAAAUAUAGUAGUAUAAAAACCUUAAAAACUUAACUUUUUUUCUCCAAAUCUUAUGUUUCUUCUUUUGUUUUGCCCAGCGACAAUGCUAGUCUUCGGGCUAAUUAUCGCCCGCCUUUUUCUCCAUCCCACCAACUCUUUCUUCCAUUCUUCUUUUCAUUCAUUUACCACUAAAAAAUUUUUUUAAAAAAGUAAAUAGCUCUUUGUCAGCUUCUUAAUCUAUUUAUAUUUUGAGAACAUUUCAGAAUAAUAAAUUAUUUACAAGUAAAUUUAAACCUGUGUAGGCUUAGGUUUUAUAUGUUUUUUUAUUUGUUUUUUCAUUGUUUAAUAAGUUUUCAUUUUUGAAAGCUUUUGUUUGCUCUUGUAACACAAUUUUUAGUCUUAUGCACGUAAUCUUAAUUUUACAAGUGAUUUUAGGAGCAAUUUUACUAUUGUCCUCUCUAAUUUGGUAAAUGCUCGUUUCUUUUGUCGAUUUUUGCUCGCCGCUUCAGACUAUCCAAUGCUAAUUUUUUUUAUCGUAUUAAGUGCUUGCAAUUACUCCAGAUAUGUCGUGCUUAAGUUAUAACAAAACAAACUAUCAACGUGUCAUAAUGUUCUAUUAAAACCUUUAUUGUGAUGAUAGAACUUAUCAUUCACCAUUUACAACAAGUAUUUGUUAUUUUUUUCUUAAAUUAUAUAAUUUCAUUUAUUGAAUGAAUUAAUAAAUUUAACUUUCAAAAAAAUAUCAAAAUAAGAAAUACAUAUAUCAAGAAAACAAAUGUAAUUCAGAAAUUGUAUCGUGAAAAUACAUAUUAGACCUGUCCAUGGGCCGGGCCCGAAAAAAAAUUUCGGCCCGCCUCCUAGGACCAAGCCCGGCCCGGCCCGAAAUAUGGGCCUAAAAUUUUGCCCAAGCCCAGCCUGAAAAAAAUAUCAUAAGCCCGAGCCCAGCCCGACCCAGCCCAUUUUUUAAUAAACAUUAAAAAAAUAUUUUAAAAAUAAAAAAAUAAAAAAUAUAUUUUAAAAGUAUUUUAAAAUUAAAAAAUAAAAAUAAAAAAUAUAUAUUUAUUAUAUUUGGGCCGGGCCGAGCCGGGCCCAGGCCAAAAAAGUGGUGCCCGAGGCCUGGCCCAUUUUUUAAACGAGCCUCAUUUUUUUUUGCCCAAGCCCAUAUUUCGGGCCUAUAUUUUUAUCCGAACCCUCCCAUAUUUUGGACGGACCGUCAGGACGAGCCGUGCCGCCCGGCCCAUGGACAGGUCUAAUACAUAUACACUACUUUUAAAAAGAAAAUUACAAAUUUACAUUUAGAAAUAAUAGGGUUUCUAUUUUAGUAUUAUAAUUUUUAUUAUUUCUCAAAAUACGGCUAUUUAUUAUUAAUUUUCAUAAUCUUUUUAACCUGGAAUUCUAUGUCCAUGGGCGUAUAUGUUAGCCUAAAAUGUAAAUAAAAUUAUUUUCAAGGCCAUUGAGGUUAGGAAGGUGGAAAAGUAAUUUAAUCUCGACGCUUAUGUUAGCAUGUAUGUAUAAUUUUUUUUCUUUUCUUUAAAUCUCAUCGUACCCUCCCAAACUCAUAAAAUGUGCAUGUCAAUCGAGUUAAGACUCAAUCGACAUAUGUAUAGAUGUAUUUUAUGAAGCAAAAAAGAUGAUUGAUUUAUAAAAAGUUGUUCCAUAAAAAACACAUGGAUCAAGGGUUAAAGGAGGACAAUCCAAAUGAGUAAUGCAAACACUAAAAAGGUGGGGGCAUUCAAAAUCUGGUCUACAAAGGUAGCUACUGAUGAUAUGAUUGAUUUUGAAAAUAUAUAGCUACAAAUUUUGUGUUUGGAGAAACUGCUCAUAAUCUAAUACUCAUUUUACAACAGGCAAUACAAGGAAGACUAAACACCUGCCAUACACAUAUACAUGAUGGGAAGGAUUACUACUGAAAAGAAACUAGAAAAGGAUCGAAUGUUACCGGGUGACGGGAGAGUUUCACUCUCUUGGUCGAGCAAGCCAGAGGGAACUAAGAGCUCGUAAUCUGGAGAAGUAAUCAUGUAUCGCAAGAAGUGCACGAGCAGACUGGCGAGUUGUCAAUAUCCGGUGCAUUUGUUGUAGGGUUUGCUGCCGUAGAUUGUCCGCCUGAUAAUACUAACGUAUUAGUAAACAAUGACCCAAAAACGAAAGAAGACGCAAUAUAAAGGCUCAAGAAACUUCCCCUCCACAUUAAAGUAAUACCAACAGAUCAGUGUCUCAGUUUAAACUACACUUGUAGUCACCCAACAAUUGGUAAGUUUCUUUUUUGAUCACUCGAUUAUGAAAAGUUACAAAAUAAUCAUCCAACUAUUCGAUUUUUUUCCUUUUUGGUCACCAUUCAUUAAAUAACUAACAAAAAGAUGAUGAUGCCAACUUUUAAAAUUGACAUAAUAGCAACUUUUAACCCUCAAUAUUCAUACAUUAUGUCAAUUUGGUCUUGAUUCUAAAAAAUAUAACCCUCAACAUUUACACACUGUGUAAUUUGGUCUUUUUUACAAUUUUGCUUUUCUUUGUGACAUUUCACUUAAAAAGCUAAAUUUGAUAAAGAAAAUAUACCAAAAAUGAAAGCACAUGAAAAUCCAAGAUGAUGAUUUUCAUAAUUUUAUUAUUCUUUUAAAACUAACCUUCAAUGUCACAAAGAAAAACAAAAUUGCAAAAAAGACAAAAUUAAAAAAUGUGUAAAUGUUAAGGGUUAAUUUUUUUAGAAUCGAGACUAAAUUGACACAAUGUAUGAAUGCUGAGUAUUAAAGUUGGGUAACCAUUUUGUAACUUUUCAUUGUUAGGUGACCAAAACAGAAAUUUAUUAAUAGUUGAGUGACUACCAAUAUAGUUUACCCUCAUAUUAUCUACAGAAAACUUCAAGUGACUCGAGAAAAUCUUCAAAGUUUCAUGUUCUCAUUUCAAACUAAUUACCGAGAUCAUCAUUACCGGUUCAAUGCAUUCUCCAAAAAGUUUCAAAUAAUGGGCAAAAAAGGGAUGGAAGAGAAAAGAAAAGGCAUUACCUGACAAAUAAAACCCUCAAGAGUUCCUAGCUUUCCCAUGGCCAUGGCCAUUUGACCCAUAUAGUUUGCUACAUUCCCAGUUGAGCCGGAAGAGCCUAAGGAUCCAGUGGACAAUGUCUCGGACAGAGACUGCUGCAAUGCUUCCAUACCUUGUGAUAAUGCAUCUUCAGCCUGCUGGGAAGAUUGUUGCAAGUUGCUAACUCCCACCAACUGUUGCUCUGUCAAAGGCUCCAAUUGGUUUACAAGAAGCUACAUGCAUAAACAUUCAAUUCUAAGAUGACAAAUUAUAAAGAAAACAAAAUAUUUAAGUAAUACGAGGUCGGGAAGAUAUUGAGUUACUGACACUAUAUAAAAAAGUACAUGAAUCAGAGUUAUGCAUAAUACAUGAGCAUGGCAGUCAUACGGGGCAAGAAAAGAUCCGAGGAACACGUGCCUAAAAAAUUCAUAUGGCCUUACCUUUAGAAGCUCAGAUGACCGAAAACCACCAAGCCACAAGAAACACCUCUCGGCAGGUGUCUUCCACAUGCCUGAUAACAAAUGGAAAACAUCUGCCUUAGCUACGUUGCUCUUCAGCCUAAAAAUUUCAUCAUAGUGAGCCAUAACACCGUCAACAAUAAUACGAAGUUCUGCAUCGCCUGCAUGAGAAUUUACUGCCAUUCUCAACUCAUUAAUUUGUCGAUUGUGCUCUUCAAGCCACCUUCCAUAUUCUACAUCAAAUGUCAUGGAACCUACAAAGAAAAGAAAUGACCGAAACAAAUAGUGAAACUGAUAAAUACAUAACCUCCACCAUCACACUCCAAACAUUUGACAAUUUGGUAAAAAGACCUUUCCAGUCCCUUCAAAUUUUGAAAUUGAGCAAAUUAAUCCUUCUUAAAAAAAUCAGAGCAAUUUACUCCCUGUCAGUUUUGAAAGUAAGCAACUAAGGACAAUUAUCACGACACUAAUUUCUUACAUCAAUUAUACAUAAUUUUGAUUGGUAUAAUAACAAAUUUAGCCCUCAAUGUUUACAUUUUGUCAAUUUGGCCUUAGAUCUAAAAAGAAUCAACAAAUUUAACCUCAAGUUUUACGCAUUUACACAAAUGUUCCAGGUUAAAUUUGUUAAAUGAAGACCAAAUUAAUAGAAUGGAUAAACUUUGAGGGCUAAAUUCAUUAUUAUAUCAAUCAAAAUUAUGUAUAAUUGACCAAAAACAUUAACAUCAUGAUCAAUUGUCCUUAUUUGCACACUUUCAAAAUUGAAAGGACUAAAUUGCUGUAAUUUUUUUGAGAUGGACCAAUUUUCUCAAUAUCGAAUUUGAGAGGGACUGUAGAUGCCUUUUUACCAAACAAUUUCAUGAUACGCACGCGAUGUAACAAAAUGGGGGACAAAAUGCAGCGUCCCUACAUAGCAUAGUAGGGGUGUAUAUCUAUAUAUUCCCGGACAAAGCCUUGGACACUGGCCUGCCCUUUUUUUACUAGCACUUAUCUAGUCAUGCAUUAUGGAACCCAUGUCUAGUAUAUGGUAUUUUUAUUCUGAAACGAAUAAAUUCAAUUUUAUGUAAUCUACAAAGAACUUAUUUUAACCGUAAACGUAAGUGCUCAAGAGAAGGUAGGGGAAGCACCAAUUGCAUACAACAUGAUGGAAAUAAAUAAUAUUACCAUUUCCACCCAAUGAAGGAAUUUGAUCUCCCGAGCUUGAUAUGAAGAUGCCCUACAGGGAAAGGCAGCAUCAUAAGUAAUACAUGCAUGAAUAAAUAACUGAGUACACAGUGCCUGCGAUGAAGGACCAAGCCAACCUGCUGUCGUGCCCGCUGGAGCUCCUGCUCAAGUUGUGUCAACUUCAAACGACUGCUCUCCAGCUGCUGCACAUAUGCCUACAAAUGGAGAAAAAGGAUAAUAUGCCUCAAUAUAGGAAAUUAAAUCUACAAAAUCCCCAAAAUACCAUAGAAGACUCGUGUCAUCUACCAUGCAUUAACUUUAAAGGGAAAAGACAUACUUUCUUCCUCAACCGGCUUUUUCUUGCAGCCUCACGAUUUUGAGCAAGUCUGCGAAGAAUCUGUAGAAUAUUAUCAACCAAAAAUCACCAAUAUGACCAAGCUAUUAUCCAUGCUAUUAAUGAAGUGUCUAACCUUUUGAUCCAAAUUACUCUUUGAUCGGUCACUUGAAUCAGAAGCUGCAACAGCAGCAUUCAGUUUUUCACUAUCAAACUGCACAAAAGCAAUAAAAUCUGAGACCGGCAAGAACAGCAACUAUUACAACAUACAAAACUUGUCCCACUACAUGAUCUUGGAUACAUGGAUCAAAUAACAAUGUGCUCUACUUGGGACUGAAUUUAAAAUAAGAUCAAUAAAAGCUAUACCCUCAGAUUUUUUUCAUCUGUUUCUGCAUCUGUUGAGAUAUCAGUCCUCGGACUAGCAUCAGCCAUAUCGGAUUCCCCCCAGUUUUCUGUAUGACCCCUAGAUAUGGAGACUGGACCUGUCUGUUGACCUCUUUCCAAGUGCAAUCCCUGAGAUUCGACUCGGAGGGCAGAUGGAUUUAUAGUAAAUGAAUUUGGAGUCUGUUUCAGGCAAUAAAGAGAGUAAAAUAAAUAACCGAGCAUACAUGAUACAACAAAUAGAUUACUUGCUCAUUAAGUUAUAAGAGAAACAAAAUCCACCUUAUCCAAAGUGCCAAUAUAGCUGCGAUCGGUAGGAAAUGGUUGGCCACUUGCAUUUGCAGAAUUAAACACACCGUCUGCAUUGCCACAUGUAAAGCCGAGAUAAAGGUUUGCCAUCCACACCCUCAAUUCUAAAAGCUGUGAAAUUGUAAACUGAAAAGAAUAAAGAGGGAAUUUACAGAAGGUUAUAAAGCAGUGACUAAUUCCCUCACCGUGGAUGCUCUCAGAAGACGUAAACAGCUGGCCUCGAAAUGUGCUCUAUUCCCAUGAGCAGGGAUCGAACCCCUAACCAUGUGGUUAAGGGAAGAGGUUAGCAACCACCACACUACACUUUGCGAUUGACUCAGGUGUAACUGUUAGAUGCACGUAUGUAUCUAAAUGGGUAUGUUCAAUCAAUUAUAAGUUUUUUCGUGUAUUUGGAGGAACCUUGGAGGGUCAUAUCCUCAUACACAUCAAACAUAGAUGAAUAACAUACAACUCAACAUCGAACAUAGGAAAAGGGAAAAUAGAAAAUGGAGACAUUUCCAAAUACAACCUCAGUCUCACAUUUCUACGAAGAAGCAAAUCAAGAUUUGCAAAGGUAGACUAUCGAAAACCGAACAUCCAAGCAAAGAAUACAAACACCGUGGCCUUCCACAGAUUAAAUUUAAAACAUAUUGCCAUCAAUGCCAUGGAACAAGCAAAACUCCUAAAUACCAUAAAAGCACUAGCUAACAAUUUAGAAGACUAUACUAAAAAAAGGAACUUCUUGAAGGGUAUUUGAAGAUAAUUUCAAACUUUUUUGAGGACUCAUAACCCUGUUUAACACCAAUACCAUGUAACAAAAGUCACUAACAAGUGUGCUCUUUGGGCAAGUAUUUCUAGGCCUCUUCACACUCUAUGAGCUCAAAAGUAAAUGUAUCAAAGAACACAGCUUCAUAUAUAGCAAACUCUUUCAAAAACCAAAACCAAAUAAUAAGUGUAAAGGACUAAAUUUGCAGCAACCUAAAAUUACAUAAAAAAUCAAAAACCCAAAUUAGAGAAAACCUUAAAAAAUCCAAAUUGACCGUCAAAACAAAAUCAUACCCAGAAACCAAAAUCAAUGAAAAAAAAAUCAAAAUGCAUAAAAAGUUUCAACUUUUCCAAAGUAAAAGAGUAAAAAUUAGUCAACUUUCAUGAUUGUAAUCCAAAAUGAUAACUUUAAAACAGAAAAGUUUAAGGACGACAAAACUCACCUGGUGAAAAUUUGAGGAUGAUGAUGAGGACGAAUAUGAAAAUUGAAGACUUUGAAAUUGAAAGUAUUAAUAUCAGUAAUUACUUUGGAUAAUGAUAUUCCAAUCUGUAGACGUCCACUGAGAAAUAGUUCCACUUCCCGAGAGCUAAUGGUUCUUUAAUUUUGCCUUUUCGAUUAAGGAGUACUAUUUUUAGUGGGUCACAUUGACUUUACUUUUUGGGUUUUUUGUGUAUUUUUUUUCCUUCUGUUGUCACUGUAAAUAGCGCAGAGAUACGGACAGAGUAAAGAAUACAGCUAUGCUUUGCUACACUGUUUCUGUAAGAAAAUUAGCUUUGGAUUUCUGUCUCCGGUUUGCAUAUGCUGUUAGUCCCUAUACUUUGAGCAACUUUUAGAUUUAGUCCCUAUACUUAAAAGUUAAAAUUUAAGGUUACUAUUUUUUUAUUUAAAAAUCACAUUCCAAUCAUUAAGAUCGUAAGUAUUUUCUGUCAAAACUUAUCAAUUUACAAUUUUGAUUAGAUUGUCAUCAUAUGACGUGACAUAUGAUUGAUAAAAAAUAAAUAUAUUGAACUAUCAAUUUUUUAUAGAAACUUCCAACGAUGAUAAUGAUUGGACUAAUAUUUUUAAAUUGAAAAAGUAAGACAAUUUAAUUUUUAACUUUUAAAAUAUAAAAACCAAACCUCAAAUUUUACACAUAUAUAAGGACUAACAACAUAUUUUAAGCUAGUUUUUAUCAUCAUAUGCCUAGUUUUUAUAUAUUUAUGUUGAGUGGAACAACUAUGACUCACACAGUGUUAAAUUUUUAAGUUGUUAAUUGCUUGUACCGUCAACUUAGAAUAAAAGUGCAUGAGAAUCACUAUUGCUUAGAAUUAUGAAAACUGUGUAAAUAAAAUAACGUAAAACACAGGUUUGUUUACAUAGUUCGAUUUUUUUAUAUCUGUAGAGUCUAGUUUACUAUUCAAAUAUAGAGAUCUCACUUUUAUAUCUAAAUGUCUAGAAUUAGAUAUAGUCCCUCCCCAACCCAUAAAUAAGAAGAUAAUACGUAUUCAUGCACUUGAACUUACGUCUUCCUUUAUUAGCACCAAUGUUCGUACCAAUCGAAUUAAAACUCAAUUAAAAGAAUGUUUUAAUAUAUUGUAUAUAUGUAUAUAUAUACCAUAUUUUAUAUUUUUAUAUCAAAUAUAUUAUAAUAUUUUAUAAGAGUAAAUAUUAAAACCACAUACAAACUCUUACCAAAAGACCUUUAUGCUAGCAAAUGUGUAAAGUUAGUGUCAUUUCCGAAUUUUUUUUUGUCAAAUCGAUUGAAUUUAAUUUUUAUAUUUUUUGAAUUUUAAAAUUUUAGUCUUAACUCAAACAUAAUGGUUAAAUCUAUUUGGUUAAAUUCAAUAAUUAGUCAUAUACUAUACAUACAAUUAUAGAUUUAGUCCAUAUUCUCCAAUUAAAUCCUUCUAAGUCUCUAUACUUUUUCAAAAUUUGAAAUUUAAGCCUUGAUCCAAGCAAAAGUUGUUAUCUAUUAACAGGAUUUUAGUGAACAAUAUGUUAUAUAUAAGGAUUAAAAAUACCAAAUUAAAGUAUAAGGAUUAAAUCCAUAACAUUAGUAAAGUACAGGGGCUAAUAGCAGAAUUUAACCAAGAAAACAAAAAAAAAUUCCCUCAAUUGUCGCUGUCUCUCUCGAAGGUCUCUCCAGAACCUUUCAGUCAACAUGGAAAAUAAAAUACACCAGGACGACGUCGUUGCAUGUGUCAGCAUGAUGUAAUUUUUACGACUAUUCCACGAGUCGAUCCAUAAUUCAAAAUUUAAUUGUCAGGUCUUUUUUCAACAUGUGGAAACCUAUUAAUUCUUUUUGACUUUUUGAGAAAAAAAAAAAACAAUGAUACUUAUCAUUAAAUGCUAUGCUUUGUUGUUUAGUCUUUUUCAUCGGACUUUUUUAUAUGAGUUACGAUUUUUUAUAUAAUAUUUAAAAUUAUUUAUAGUCUUUUACCAAUCUUUAAAUAAAAUAAUAAUAUGUUUCAGCGUACUGAAAUUUAUAUUUUUUUACACUGAUAACAAUAUCAAUACCAACUUAAUUAUGACUCAAUCCACUUUUUUUUAUGGUUGUUUUGUGAGGUUUGUAGAUAAAUUUGAUAAUUGCAUAUUUUAUGCGACAACUUUUACGGGGUUGGAGAGAUAUUGGGAUGUAUAAAGUAGUGGAAGAGAAGGUAGAUUUAGGGGUUGUACCUCUUACGAAUUUUCGCUAUUAGUUAGGGUGUCUGUAUCCUUCACCCAAUAGGACUGGCUGUAGCUUUUUUGUUGGCUGUGUCAUCAACUACCAUCGUUGAGGUUGCAUGUUGUCUAUGCAUUUAUAGCAAUUUGUUUGCUAUCUUGGGCAAGGGGUCUGACUACUCGCACAUUUCCAAACAUCUUCAACCUUGUAUUAAGUAUAAAGUGCCCAUUUAAUUGGUUGUUUUAUUAGAAAUUAUUCUUGGGUAAUUUUCCGACAAUACGGCUAAGGUAAAGUAAUGAGUUCUCUCAACUUAUUUCUUUUUAAUUUCUAUUAACUUAGUUGUCACCUAAAAAUAACGUAUGAGCAUAAAUUAAAGAAUUAACUUAGUUUCAUUGGCAUUAUAUGAUUGAUGAAAAGUAAACAUGGUCACAAGUCGUUUGUUUUUGUGAUGAAUGACUUGAUUAUUAUCUGAUAAUAAUUGAUUUUUUAUGAGAGAAGUGUAAUGAUUACCGUGAGAUAAAAUAAGAUCAUAUUGGGAGAACAGAUAUUAUCCCAAAGAGAUAAGGAUAUCCUAUUAGGGUAAUACACUUAUGACAAGAUCGUUGGACGAUGAUUAAUCGACUUGCUUUCGUAAUGGUAUGUUGUUGGGGAGAGCUCAAUCACGAUACUAUAGUAGAAUGACUUCGUGACUAAAUGAGAUUAUAAUUAAUAGGCGAAAAAAUACUAUAGUAGAAUGACUUCGUGACUAAAUGAGAUUAUAAUUAAUAGGCGAAAAACUGGAACUUAAUUAUAAAUCAUUUGAGUCUCAAUUGCAUAUGGCCAAUUGGUCCAUUCGUAAGCUUCUUAAAGACAAAAAUGAAUUGUAUGUUGAAUCAAAUGAACAAAAAUUGUGAAAUAGGAAACAUUUGGAAAUGAUUAAUGUUUUCUCCAAAAUGAAAAUGAAAAUGGGGAAAUGAAAUUAUUUGGAAAUGAAUGUAGUUUCACUUGAUUCGACUCAACUCAAAUUUUAUUUCAGUAGACUCGAUUUGAAUUUUUUUUAAAAUUAAGUUAGUAUGAUAAAAUAGGACUCGUCAACUCUAUUAAAUGGAAUUUUUUUACUCGAUUCGAUCAAGCGUUCACCCUUAUAUCAAAGUAUGAGUUAUAUAUACAUAGUUAGUCACUCAAGAUUGAGGUGAGUUACACUAUGAAUAUCACAAGUGAAUUAAUCCAUAAACAAAUUCAAGAUAAAUUCAACUUGGGUCAUGUCCGAUAUAUUGUCAAUCCAAACAAUCACACUUAUGUUUCUAUCUUUCUAGUAGCCAAUCGCUCUAAUACCUAAGACAAUGCAUCUCCUCAAUUGGACUCGAUAAACAACAUAAUAGUCCCUUGAAUCAAUUGUUCAUUUGAUUCCUCAAACCAUGGAUCAUUUAAACUACCUACUAAUAUAAGUUGUUUUCUUGCAUCAUAAUUAAUACAAAUGAUACAAUUUAAUAUUAGUUAAACUUUAGAUAAUAAAUGAGUCAAUGUCUACUUUUUUAUUUUACUUUUCGUGCCAAAAUUAUUAAUGAUAAUUAUAUAAUUAUUUAGUCAUGAAAAUUUUAUUAACCAAUUUGAUUGAAAAUUUACAAACAUAAUAACAAGAUAACUAUACUAAGGGCACAAAAUCUCAACAAAACCCUCCACAUUUUGGCUCAAUAACAAAAUCAAGCAAAGGAACCAAAUGUCUAUAUCAUUAGACUUUGCUGAAAAUUCAUCAUUGAGUUGAUGACACUACUAAAAGUAAUGUAAAAGUAAUGCACACUUGCACGUACAUCUAUUCAUGUUGUUAGUAUGGGGUAAUCUAGUGCAAACAAACAUGAACCAAUACCUCAUAUUGAGAAGCAAAAAUCAUGACUUAAAAUACAAGUAUCCCUUACUCUUGCUAAAUUUCCAAGUAACCCAACCCCAUGUCAAUGACUUGACGAUAGCAUUCAAUUCAUGGUCAGUAAGAAAAUUUCCAAUGAAGUCAUCUUCUCAAUAUCAAGGACUCCAAGUCCAACUUGAACAAUCUCAUUAUAGGUUCUGAUAAUAUUUACUAUUUUUGAUAUAAUGUCUAAAAUUAUUUAUAGCCUCUCUCCAACCUAUAAAUAAGAGGAUAAUGCACUUCAGCGCACUCAAACCCACGUCCUACUACAUAGAUAACAAUAUGUAUGUCAAUCGAGCUAAAACUCAAUCUACAGCAAUUAUAGAAUGAAUUUUGAAGCGAAAGAAUUUAGCAAAACAAAAUUAAGAUUCAAUGAUAGCUUAAAACAAUAAUUUUAUUGCCAAAAUACUUGUAGUGAAAUGAAAGAACAAAAAAGUCCAUUGGACUUGGAGUUGUACAAUCCACAACCAAAGUCUACAGUACACAAACAGUUGUUAAGAAGGGCCCAAUGCUUUGAAUUUGUUCAACGAAAAUUCCCAGUCCAAAUCCACUUGUUUUUCUGGCCAUUUUCUAAUUUUCUCCUAUGCAAUUAACAUCAUCGUUUGCACCAUAAAUUUCUUUUGUUCAAUUUCCUCAAAUACUAUUGAUGAUAAUCAUAAUUUAAGAGAAGGUCCUUACUACAUUUUUUUUAAUAUACCUAUACCCUUCAAACUCUUAAAUCGAAAGAAAAUUGUGUAUAUUUUUUCGUUACAUUAUAGAAAAAUGUUUAAAUUUUUAUUUUAAUUUCUUUAUUUUAUUUUAAUUUGAGAUUUAAUUUCUAUACUUUAAUUUCUCUCGAAUGGUUGAUUCUUUUCGAAGGACAGUGGGGAGUUGCUAUUUGAAGACCCCAUUUCUUGUUUGGUUGCUCUCUACUCAGUAUUGUUAAUGUUUUGUUUGAGCAGCCGCCGGUCGGAAUCCCAUGGCUGAGGGUUUCCUUUUUGUGUUUUUCUCUUGACUGUUGGUUCAUUUAAUUGUCUUUUUACUUUGUUUAAUUCAUCAAUAAAUAGGUCGGCUUUUGAGAUAAAAAAAUAAUUAAUAUAGUUAACUUUCUUUAAUUAAAAUGUUACGUGAUUAUAUAUAAUUUAAAUGCUAUAAAGGUCUUUAAGAUUAACACAUCUUUUUUGUUUGCCUUACUCUUUUUUCCUUAUUAUAAGAAAAUGGACAAAUUUUAGGUUUGAUCCCUGUAUUAUAAUUUAAUGUUUGACAUAAUUUAGUUCAUCUACUUUUAUAAUGUCUUUAAUUAGUUAGAUAGUUAACAUUAUUAAUUAUUUCAAUUACAAUGUUAACGUCAUUUUUUUAAGAAUACUAUCAAGUAAUCACGGGUUGAAACUCAAUAUCUAUUAAUGUUUAAAUAAAUAUUUUACACAUGCAAAAUAAGAUUUAUAAAUAAAAUCUAUAGCGCCUGAUAAAAUCAUAAAGGGGAUGAUUUGAUGUAAUAGGUCUAAUCAAUGUCACAAUAGUUGAGGUAAAUGUCAUGUAAAAAUAUAAUGUCGGUAAUGAUAAUAUAUCGUAAAGAAAAGAGAAAUAAAAAUAAAUAACACAUAAAUUUUUACGUGGAAACCCUUUCGGGAAAAACUCACGGGCAGAGGAGAAAAAAUUUACUAUGUCGAAUUCGAAUGAUUACAAUAGAAGUUUCGACUACAUCUAUUUAUAGGUUGAGAAAACCUAAUUCUAAUCAAAGUCAAAUAUAUUAUGUUAAUAGAUGCUAAAUAUAUUAUACUCAUAAAUACUAAAUCUUUUAAAAAGAAUAUAUAUUUUGUUUAACUUGACUUACAAAUAAUAUCUUAAAAUUUACGUCACACAACUUCAACAUGUCAUAAUUCUAUAGACACACAAUAAAUGUAUGUUUGCAAAAAGAAAAGCACAUGUCAUGGAUUUCUUGGACUUCCAAAGUUCCCAACUUUAGUCAAAUGAAAUUUCAUAUUCCAAUGUUUGAUAAAAACCACAUGGGGAAUUGGAACUAAACAUGCAAAACAAAUCUUUUGAAUGUAAGCAAUUUGUUGGGGAGGGAGGGGAAUCCUUUUUGGACUUCUAAAACCUCAUAAAUCAAAUCAAUUAAAACAUAUUAGGUAGUUCAAAUUCAUUCAAUCUUACAUUAUAAAUUAUUUUGGUUUUUUUUUAAUAAUUACAUCUGUUUUUAUCCUUAUGGUUUGGAUGAUAUUUAGAUAAAAUCUUCUCAACAAUGAUUGUUUUAGAAUUUAGAUUCAAUCUAAAUGUUUGAGAAAGAAUCGACUGUUACUUAAUCUUUCGACUAUUCGAAGACCGGUAUGGUAGAUUAAUUCCCAUUGAUGAGUGGAAAACUAUUUAAAUAAAAGAAUAGAAGAAAACUAUUUGAAUGUUGGUUUGUAUAUUUAUGACAUUUGAAGUUGUUUCAUAAAAAACCGAACUAUAGUAAAGAAGAAGAAAAAAAAAUAAGAACUUUCGAUUACUGCGAGCGAUAUAAAGAGAGAGGCCAUACAACAAUAAUUUUAACAGCUUAAUAAUUUAAAUAAAAAUUUUUAAAUAAUUCAAUAAUUAUUUAUAAAUAUACAAACCAUGAAUUUACCCUAAAAUCAAUCUAAAAUCUAACUUCCAAAUAUGUAAAAUGAAUCCGACAGAGUGUGAGCCAUCAGAGAAAUUUGUAGAUUUGUGUGCGCGAGUGGCGACUGCAUGCGUUGAAAGCCUUCGUAGAAUCAUAGAUAAAGAGUUUCACACUCCAUCCAUUGAACUAAGACGCCUUUUUAUUAUAAAUUGAAUGUCGGCUCCAAGAUAUGCCUUUUACCAUUCUUGGACUUUGCUGUAUCUUUCAUAUUCUUUCUUUAAUUAUUAUUAUUUGUUUAUUUUUCUCAAUGCAUCUUAUCAUAUGAUAUGGUCUUCUUCGUAUCUACCUACAUGUGCAUCACAAUCACACGUAUAUGCUUUGUAUAUUUACGUAUCUUUUAUCUUUAUUAAUUUAAAAUAUUUUAUCAAUUAAAUCUUAACUUAAUUGGUAUAAGUAUUUUUGUUAAUAUAAAAACUCGUAUCUUUAUAUAAGUCUUAUCUUCUAUUUAUAGGUUUGAAUGCAGUUAAGCGUGCUAUUCCUCCGAUUUAAAAGUUGGCAUUGUGUAAAAAAAAAGAAGAUAAAUAUCAACUUUAAUUCAAUGUACAAUUUAAUACAUUAACUUUAGUUCAAAUAUAUACAUUUAAAAAAACGAAUACACUAAUUUUUUUUCUUCCGCUCGUCUUCAGCAUGACAUACAUAAUUUAGUAUAUUAUAAAUAAGGUCAAAUCAUGCUUUUAGUUUGUAAAUUGUGGAUGUAGCAUCUAUAUUAAUCUAAAUUUAAUCAAUUUUAGAUUUUAUACAUUUUGAAAUUUAAAAUUUCAGUGUUAACUAAAUGGUACCCAUUAAAUUUAUUAAGUCAAAUUAUAUUAUUUUCAAAAUUUUAGCCAGCUAACUAUUUUCGUACAAUAUUCACACACAGACAAAAAAAGUCAUUUUAGUGAAUAAUUUUAAUGACUAUCGUUUAAGUUAUGUUUAAAAUUUCAAAUUUGAGAAAAUAUAAAGACUAAAAGUGAUCAAAUUGAAUAAUACAGAUUAAAUCCACGACUUACACAUAAUAUGAAACUAAUAACAGAAUUUGAUUCAACGGAUUUAAUUACUAUUUUUUCAGGUAAUGACUGAAAUUUCAGAACUUAAGAAAUGCAUAUAAAGUUUUAAGAGUUUUAAGUUGUAUAUAUAUACAUCAAUGAGUGUUGGGUAUAGUGAUAAGACAUAUUAUAUUUUUAAUAAGAUACGUAAGUUCAAACUUUAGAAACGACAUUGCUAAGAGGUAUAACUAUGAACCCUGAAUAUAAACUGUAAAACGAACAUAAAAACACGAAAAAAGUGUAUAUAUAAUUAAUACAAAAAUACCCCUAAAUAUAAAAAAUCUAGAAAUUAGAGUUAAGAAAUCUCCUUAAGAUAAGAUUUGUGCCAAGAAUGUGAGAAUCCAUUUCUAUUUUAAAAAAGAAAGGAUGGAGUGAUAUAUUAUUUAAUUUAGAUAUUUCUGGAAUGGAUAAUACGCGUCUCCCAUGUGCCAAAUGAGGUUUGGAGUUGGAUUUGCUAAAAUUAGGGAAAACAAAUAGUUUUGGAAUAAUUAUGUAUGAAAUUAAUCAAAUAAUCAUAGGAAAAUAUUUAAGUAUAUUUUUUUAUUUUAAAAAAUUUUAGAAAUAAUUAUAGAUAAAAAUUAAUAAAUCAAGAUUUUGUCGCAUUUUCAUUUGUAAAGUCUAAAAGUUCAAUUGGACAUCGAUUCAAUCGUGUAUAAUAAAUGUUUAAUUUUACUUUUGUAACCAAAGCAUCAAUUGACUUUAAUAUGAAUUUUUAAUAAUUAUAUUUGUUACAUAAAUGUUUUUUCAACCACAUCGUGGCGUGUUAUGCAAAAAUUAAAUCAAUUGAAAAUUAAUAAUUUCAAUAAAUAUUAUAUUAUCCUAUAAAACUUUACGUUUAAAAUUUGACUUUUGUUUAGAAUAAGGUGAAAUGUUUAAAAAUUAAGGAUAAAUUGUAGAGUUUUUUUUAUAAUUUAUAAUAUAUAUUUAUAACAAUCUAAUUAACAUGGAUUUUUUAGAAUAAGGUGCUGAAUAAUUGUCUUUAGUGCUCACUUUCGAAAUUGACAUGAAUUAAAUUGAGAGGGACCAAUUUGCUUAAUUUUAAAAUUGAGAGAGAUUGGAAAGAUUUUGUUUACCAAACUUAUUCAAUUAUACAGCACUAAUACAUCAGAUCUCAUCAGAACUCCGCAAUUAAGCGUGCUUAGGCGAGAAUAACACUAAGAUGGGUUACCUCCUAGGAAAUUCUCGUGUUGAGGACAAAGCAGCUAUUAUUCACCUAAACAAUCCACCACCAAUACCACGAAUUUGAAUAUUGAAUUCAAACUAAUAAUGGGCAAUGAAUGAAAUUAGUCAACAUCAUUAACUCAAUGCGUAAGAAAAAGAAAAAUGGUGGGUGGGUUCAUAAAUUUGGGAAUUUCCACAUCUUCAUUCACUUGCUUCCUUCUUGGCAAUUCUCAUUAAUUUAUGGACGGAAAAUAAUUUCCCCUAUUAUAAACGUGAGAAAGAUUAAUUUUGUAGGGUUUUCCCCUAUUGCCCAUCACUUGGUCCCCAUUUUUGUAAAAACUAAUAAAUAAUUUUUUUAUAUAUAUAACUAGAUUUUAUCGUACCCAUAAGUCAUAAAGUGGGUGAACUGAAAUAUUUUAUAUUAAAAAAAUAUUUCAACAAAUGAUUAUUAGUGGAGUGACAAUGUUUUUUAUUUAAAUUUAUCGGCCUUGUAUUUGAUCAAGGGCAAAGUCAGAUAACAUUUUUAGAAAUGGCCGAAAUUAAAAUGUAAUUUUUACGAUAGUAAAAAUAUAAUUUCACCAUUUUAAUAGUCUAUAUUUUUAUAAUUUUUAAAAUAUUAAAUCAUUUUUUAUUAUUUUUAGAGGCUCAAAGUGCAAUUUUACUUUUACUAAUUUAAAAAUUUUAAGGGCCUAAAUAGAAAAUUUUUCAUUUAAGGGGGCUAGGACCCUUGCCAGUCCCCCUAGCUAUGCCCCUGUGUUUGAUUCUCAAAUAAUGUUUUUCAAUUAUUUUAUUUGAAGAUUAUAUAAAAAAAUAUAUGAAAAUACCCUUAUAAUAAUAUUAAUUGCCCUUUAAAGUAAGGAUAUUUUAAUAAUUUCAUAACUGAAUUGGUGUCGAGUUGACUCGUGACACUAACUCAAUCAAUCAUUUUAUAUACAAUAUAGAUACCUUGUUGCCAUCAAAAAGUUUAAUUAAAGCUUAAAGAGUAUGAAAAGCCCCUAUACUUCAAAAUAAAAAUAAAGCAAUCUAAUCCUUCUAUGAAAAAACACAUUUAAUCGUCUUUUGACCAAUGUUUUCAUUUUUGACCGUUAUUGAUGCUAAUUCGUUUGGUUUUUGUCCAUGCGAUGAUUCAUGUGGUUGACUUUUGGUGAUAUUGAUAUUAUUUUGUCGUAUAUGUCACGUUAAAAUCUUAUUUUAAAAAAAACUAAAAUGCAAAGAAAAAAAACCUUAAAAUAUAAAAAGAAUUAAAAAAAAGAAAUAAAUUUAUUAUUGAGUGAAUUUUCAAGAUCAAGUCUAGACAAUUUUUUAAGCGAAUCCUAAUCAAAUUUUUAUUUCUCAUCUUCAAGAUAAUGUAUUGACAACCCUUGAAGCAAACUUCGUAAUUUUACAUCAACUCUCAAAUACUUUUAAAUUUAAAUUAAAUCAAAUCAAAUCCAAACUCGUUUUAAAAUCAAGUUUCGGCAACACUUAAAUUAAACUACAUCAAUUCAAUAAAAAAAUUUUAAAAGAUUCAUUCAAAAACUGUAACUCAUAAUUUCAUAAUAACUCUUUUAAUUUGUUUCAAAUCACUAUUCAACUUAAAAUUUGUGUUAAUAAUUGUGGAAGUAGAGUUUGUUUUUUUGUAUUUUUUUAAAAAUUCAAUUUUAUUUUUAAUAUUUUAUUAUAUUGAUCAUAAUGCUCUUUUUUAUUUUUUAAUAUUUUAUUUCAUGUACCAUGUAUUUAGCUUCAUGACAAUUUCUUUGAAAAUUAUUUAUUGUUCAUAGCAUCCAAUUUUUUUUAGUAUAUCUAAAAUAUAAAAUUAAAAAAAGUACAAAAUCUUUUCAUACCCUUAGCCUUCAAUUAAUUAUUAAAAAUCUCAAUUAUUUGAAUUUAUUUUUAAGAGCUUCAAUGAGUGGAAACUUUUAGUUUUAUGUUAGUGUACGUGUGUGUAUCAAGGGAGUUUAAUUUUGAUAUAUUUUUAAUUUUAGAUUUUAACAAUUUUAUUAUAUAUUAUUAUCAUAUAUAUGUUUUUUUAACAUAAUAUUUACAAUUCUUCCCGAACCCAUUAAUAGGAAAAUAAUGUGUUUUAGCGCAUUGAAGCCCACAUUUUUUUACACUAACAAUAAUAUUUAUAUCAAUCGAGUUAAAAUUCAAUCAGACAUAUCAAAAUGACUUUACAACCAAUCUUCGACAUAAAGCAUAAAUAAAACAUUUUUAUAUUAUUCUCCUACUAUACCUUUUCAUCCAAUAAAUAAUAACCAUAACGACCAAAAUAAAACACAAAAAAGAACUCGACAUAAACAUUUUUAAUUCUCAUAAAAUCCACAAAAAUUAUUCACAACAAUAAAUAUGUAAUUUCGAUAAUAUUUGAUGCGGCCAACCAAUAAGUAUUAGGUGUAAUGAUCAGAUAUAUUCUUAGAAAAAAAAUAAAUGUGCAAAACUUGUAGAUGACAUUGAUAGAAAUAAUAGCCACAAACUCUGAAUUGUAAGACAAACAUGAAGAAUUCAAAAACAAAAUUAAUAUUAGAAAUGGAUUGAUGGGUCAGACUAGUUAGAUCAGGAAUCAAUCAGUACAUCAGUCUGGAACAAGAUAAAGUUUGGAUUAACCUACCGAUAGAUCGGAGAUCGGAAACGGGUGAUUUGAUUUAAUCAACAAUAACAAAAAAAAAAUUUAAAUUAAAAUUAAAUUUAGAGUUUGGGUUUAAGGAUUAGAUUAGAGUAUUGAUUUUUGAAUUUAUUUAUAAGUUGAUUAAUAAAGUAUGGUGAUGUAGUUCACUCUGCAUCAAAUAUUGGUAGAAUAUAAUAAGUGAUUUUUAAAAAAAUACCCAAAAAUAAUCAGCUGAAUAUAUUGGGAUCUGUCUACUUUGAUACGGAACAUCAGCCGAUACCAGAUUUCUUGGUCAAAUAAAACAAACACUCUCAUCUCUUAAAAUCAACGGUCCAAAUGAAUCCACUCCCAAUUUUCAAUUAAUAUAUAUUUACUCUUAGCUAAACCCAUGUUCCAUUUUUAUUUCAUUUUUCACAUCCAAAAAAGAAGAAGUUUUCUUUCAUUUACCUCCAAAUGACAAAAAUAUCUUCGACGGCGACAAGUUUGAUUGAAGCAAAGCAAUUGUAUCAUUAAAAAGAUGUCUGGAUGUUUUCGGCCUUUCGGCUUUGGUGGAUUGUUAUUGCUGGCGGCAUUGACGGCGUCUAUGCUUGUUCUUCCGUUGGUGUUGCCGCCGUUACCUCCGCCGCCUUUGAUGCUACUGUUCUUUCCCGUUGGGCUUAUGGCGGCACUCGUGUUCUUGGCGUUUUCUCCGGCGGAGACUGUUGGGAAUGUGGUUGGGAAUACUUUGUAAGAAAACGAAUAUAGUGUAUGUGUGCUUUGGUAGAAAGGUGGUCGGCGAUUUGUUGGGCGGCGGGCGGCUCAGCUGAGUCUCUAUAGGUUGUUGAUUUUUGAUGACUUUUUUUUUUUUUUAUAAUUCUAUAACAUUUAUAUCACUUUUUCCUUGUUUAUUAUUAAAUAUGAAAUCUUUUUUGAGAAAGAAAAAAAUGGAGAAGUAUUGAGAAACAUAGAUUAAAAUAUUUAAUUGUGAAUAAUUCCCAUUUUCUUCCAUUUUUAUUGUUUAAUUGUGCAAAAUUCUUCCAUUAUGCAUGAAGUUUCAAGUAUUGUAUAUUUAUGUGUUGGCCGAAUGAUUACAAAUCAUCCUCUUUGUCUCCACCGAAAAUGUAAAGUAUGAUUUAGUUUCAAUUGAUUGCGAAUAAUUUCUUCUAUACAUCCACAUGAUGUUAAAUUUUUAGAUUAUGUAAUAUUAUUAUUUAAAAGUUCUAGAAAAAUUAGGACUAUCUUGAUAAAUAUGGAAAAUAAUCUUAAAAAUAUUUGUAAUUUUUAUAAGAUUUGAUUUUGUAAAUCUAGAGAAUUGAGUCAAUUCCUUAAUAAUCUCAAUUGUAGAUAGGCUUUAAUCUCGAUUGUCGAUGUAACUCAGCCUUCCUCCUCAUUUGUCUCCAUCUCAUCCCAUUCUUUCUUGAGUAAUAGAAUACUUUGAGAGUACUAGGUGUACACUAUUUUUUUUGUGACAUUUUUUGUUCUUUUGUUGCUCUUUCGUUUUGAGUUGCUUCCGCUUUAAUUUUCAGUGCCUUUGAGAAUUUCUAGCAAGAAUUCUCACUUUAAGAGAAUUAGGCUUAGGCAGAUUUGAACCCAAGAAAUCACCUAAGGUUGCAUGGAUUGUGAGACUAAAAUUUUAGUCCCGUGACAAUUGAUAUUAGAGCUAAGGUUUCGAAGGCGUCGUUCGAGAUGACGAAAGGAGUAGAAGAUCAAAUUGAGCCUAUAGAGACCCACAGAAAGUCUAGAAAAGCUAGCCGAUUGAGGGAUAUGCUGUCAGUUUUGGAAAAUGAAGUGAUCAAUCUCGAGGAGUUCAUGAGGGACAUGAGGGAGACACGUAAGGAAGUCAAAUGACACAUUGAUGAGAUGGACUCAAUGAAUGAGCAACUCAGAGACUUUGUGUUGGAGUCUCUUGGUUCCAUUGCAGACAAGUUGGCGAUAAGGGAUAAUGCAACAACAACAAAGAAAAGCAAAAAAAAAAAAAGAUGUCAAAAAGGAAAAGAAAAAGCAUAAAAAGAAGAAGAAGAAGAAGAAGGGUUUUAUCUUCAUUGCUCGAGUUCAUUUAGUGAGCUCUAGGUGGCGGUUCAUCGAUUCCUAAUGGUGAAAGGGUAACAAUUGAAGAGAUGAGCAACAUAUCAACAAACGAUGGCCAUCCAGUAGAGGGUUCAAGAGAUCGAAGUUAGGGAUUUUCAAAAAUAAAAGAGGGUUUUUUACGACCUUGAAGAGGGAUUCUUAGGAAAUUGAUUGGAGAUUCGAAGAGAGUAGGGGAAGAGGAGUAUUCUAGUGGUAUCUGAUCGAAGCUUUGAUGGUUAUAGAUGGCGAUGACAAUGAAUAGUGGCUAUCGAGAAAAAAGAGGGAAAAGAAGGGAGAAAGAAAAAGGGAAAUUAAAAAAAAAAGAAAUAAAAAAAUGAAAGGAAAAUACAUGGAAAAAAAUUAGGUGUAUUAUUUAGAGUGAUUAAAUUAAGGAAAAAUUAGAAGUGACCAUAGGUGUAGUUUGCUAAAAAAAACUCAACAAGGCAUCCACAUGGCCCAAAAAAAAACCAUAUUAGCUAAUCGUUGCCCAGUUAAUAGUUGAGUGACCUCAAUAUUCAAUGCGACUAACAUCAAUGGCCAAGUCAAAAAUUUUCACAUUUGAAUUACCGAAAUGAAAGCGCUACAACAGUUGUAUGAUUAUUAGGAUAAUUUACCUUUUAUACUUUUAGUUCAAUCUCUCCAUUUUAUAUUAAUUACUCUCUAGAUGUGGCUCAAUAAAAUGAAUAAUUCAUAAUUAUUCAAAAUACUCUAAGAUCACAUGCCUAUCAAAAUUCAAGGAACCUUUCAAAAUAAAAUAACACAGUAUCAAGUAUCUAUACUAUUAUUUAAAGGUUUGAUAGAGUUGGUGUCAACCAUCAACUAAGUCCCGACUUAAUUGUGAAUUUACUAAAAAUUCAUUAUUUUGUUAAAAAUAAAGAGUAUUUUAAGAGUAUUUUUUUAUCUUUUAUAUAAAAUCUAAGAAAACAUGCAUGAUGUGAUUUGAAACCAAAACAUCAAAAUUUUUAUUAUCUCAAUUUUAUUAUUUCAUUUAAAGCCACGUUUGAUUUUUAUAUCAAUUUUUUUUUUAUAAAUUUGUUACACCAUCUUUCACUAACAUAGUGGGUUAUAUCUAUGUCAAUGAUAUUGAAAAAUAACAUAAGAGGGGUCUAUAUUCCAUUAGGCAUAAUGCCAAAAUUUAGCCUUAAACGUUUACACUUUUUUUAAUUUGGCCUUUAUUUUUAUUAAGCUAAAAUUUCCCUUAAACCUUUAAAAAAGUCAUAUUUGAUCAUCAGCAUUUCAAAACGAGUAGAAUUGAUUUUUUUUUAAAUAGAAAUAUUGAUUAAAACAUUAAAGUUUUAAACAUGGCAACCCAUAUCAUAACCCACAUAGUAAUCCACAUAAUAAUAAAGACACGAGGAAAAAAGGGCGAAGCUAGAAAUUUUUUUAAGGGGGUCGAAAUUAAAUUGUAAUUUUUACAAUAAUAAAAAUGUAGUUUCACUAUUUUAAUAGCCUAUAUAUUUAUAAUUUUUAAAAGAUUAAAUCAAAUUUUUAUCAUUUUGGGGGGCAAAGUGUAAAGCUACUUUUAAUAAUUUAUAAAUUUUGAAUUUCCUAAAUGAAAAAAAAGUUAUUUUAAGGGGGACCGGGCACCUGUCAACCCUUCUCUAGCUAUGCCCUUGUAAGGAAAGAAGAUGCUCUAUUGUUGAGUCAAUUAUUCCAUUAACUAUUAAAAUGUUAUUAAUUUAUGAGAGUUAAAUUUGUAUGUGUUUUUAAUAUUAAAAAUAUGAUUUAUAAAUUAAAUUAAAUUUUAUAUAUAAUUUAUAUUUAUUAUUUAAAUGCUUUUAUAAUUUAUAUUUUAGUAGAUUUUAUUAAUUAUUUUGUAGUUAUGAUAUGAUGAUUCUCUUCGAUUACAAGUAGCACAAAACUCAACUAAAUGUAAGUAAUUGAGUCGAUUCCCACAUCGAUUAGUUAGUAACAUGCCACUCCGUGCCUUGGCUAUAAAAGGUGAGCGAAAACAAGGCAAGAAGCAUCUUUGCGCUUGGGGCAAUGACGCAGCUAGUGAGGUUCCAACCGAGGCGCGUCUAUUGCUGGUUGAAAACUAUUUCCAAACCCCCUCUUAGGCCUGGGUUCAGCCUUGGCCUUCGAGAAUUUCUGGAAGGGCUCCCUUCGGGGUAAAGCCCUACAAUUCCUAGUUAUCAAAGCUUUUUCUUAAUUGGGUCCUUGGCGAGUUGCUGGAAGGGCUAUCUUUGGGCUUAGUUUUUAUAGUUCUUUGUUUUGAAUGGGCUCAAGUUUUAGUGGAUUGUUAAAAUUGAGGAAUUAAGUUUCUAAAAAUUCUGUAAAAGAAGUAUAUUUUAAAUUGUUACGAAAUUCUUAACAUGAAAUUAUGGAAAUUUUAGUAUUAGUGUUAAAUGUUGCUAUUGCUAUUUGUUAUUUAACUUAUUUAAAGAUUUACAAUUCCAUGAGCUUGGGCUUCUAUUGUUGACAUAAAAACAUCUAUACGUUUGUGAGGCUUUCGCGAAGUUUCAAUAGUUUUCGCUUUCAGGAUAAAUUCUCCUGUUUGUGCAUCAUAAAAAGAACUACCAGGUUGAUGGAUCAUUACCCUGAUGAUAUAACAUAAUAAAAUGUUCUUCUAACUCGCAUAAUGAGGUGAGAAGAAUAGCUAAAAAUAGCUAAAGAAUAAUAAGAAAAAAAAAAGAUAGAAAGAACAACCGCACAGGUAUUUUUGUGCAUUGCAUACGGCUUUACAAUGGAAUUCAUUUUUUUCUUUCAUCGAAAAAAGAAAAAGAAAAUAUAGAGAGCAUCUAUUAGAUCCAUAUCACUAAAUAAUCCAAUUAUCUCCCUUCUUUUUUCUUUUUUUUUUGGAAAAUUUCAAAAAUACUAUAAUGGCUCCGUUGCUUUAUAUAUUUAUCUCGUCAAUGAUUCAGCAAUUCCAAAGUUUUUUUCAAAAAAAAGACAAAAAAAUAGUCUUUUUUUUCAUACUCUUUUAUUUUAUAACAUAAAUAUUGUUAUAAAUAUUGUUAAUAGCCUCUGGUGUGAAAAGAAAGAAGCUUGUGACGCUGAGAUAGGCCCACGACAGUUAAAAUAAAAUUGGAAAUGCCCUUUCUCUCAUACUAUUAUUGGCGCAAAUCCAAUAUUGGAAUUUAAGAUGAGAAAUAAAUUCCCCAUUGGUAGCAAAUGCUUAUCCAUUAAGCGGAAAAAUCCUAUUUAAAAAGAAAAAAAAUUAUGCUUCGACUCUUGCAAAGAACAGACUAACAAGGUUAGCUGCCCAAUUAAUCCUCAUCCUUACAUACCGUUGCUGUAUAAGAUAGGUCUCGUUGUAAAAGAUUUAUUACUAGAAAAUUUAUGAGUAGAGCCGAAAAGUGUGAACUGUAUAAGUUACCAAUUAAAUGAAGGAAUGAGCUUCGAUGUACAGAGAGGACCUCACCGUUUAAGAAGUAACCAUAGAAACGAUGGAACCCACUAUUUAUUUAUCCAUUUCUAUUUAUUCCUUUAUUUUAGUUAAUAUGCUUUUUUUAUACCUAGUAUCAAUACAAUUUCUUAUUUCAAGGCGAAAUGAAAUGACUAGAAAAAAAGAAAAAUUGUGGUCGGGACGGUUAGAGUAGCAAAAGCUAUUGGAAUUUUUAUUUUAUACAUUGGAAGAAUCUGUUUUGUUAUUAAUAGACUAGAAAAGAACAACUGAAAGAAAGAAUUAGUUAUUCAUCAAAAUUUUUUUUAUUCAAGGAUCAGAAUUAAACGGGAGAGAUAAAUCUUAAAAUUAUACAUUAAUUUUGAUUUAAAAUGUAAUUGUAUACAUAAACUUUAAUCUCGUGUAAUUAUACACAUGAAACUUUAAAAGAAUAAAUACAUCAAAUUAAUUUCAUGCAACUAUACAUGUGAAACUCUGAAAGAAAGAAAUACAUUUAUUUUUAUAUUGGAUAAAUAUAAUUAUUUAUGUAUACAAUAUAUAAAUAUAAAAUGAUGUUAUAUCAAUAAUUAUGUUGACAAUUUAAAAUAAUUAGAUCAAAUCAAAAUUUCAUGUUAAAGUGCUCAAGAGUCGUUACUUUCUAUUUUGUUGAAUCUUGAAUGCUUAAAGGGGAAGAUUAGCCCCAUGGGAUUGGAAUAGUACCGUUGAAAGACUAAAGCUUCCUAAAUGAGGCUUAUGAGGAACGUCAAAAAUGGAUGAAGCAUUUCAAUUUGGGAGGAUAAAUGAACCCAUGACCUUGAAAAUUUUCAAGUAUCAAGGAAUCCCUCUUGAGGGAGCCAACUACCGUGUUCUAUGAACUAAGAGAUCAAAAUCAUAAAUGUUGUCGAUUGGACUUGCUACAUCGGCUUUUUACUCAAUUAGAGGACAAAACUUUCAAUUAAUAUCCAUUAGGAUGCUAUAGUUAGCCAUUUCGAAUGAGAUAUAAGGUAUAAUUUGCGAAUGAACUCCUCAAUGGGAGAAGCGAAGGAGGGAACCUCUACUCAUACCACUAUCAGAAUAGGGCUAUGGAAAUCAAUUUGAAACCUCAAUACCAUUCUAGUGGUAGGUUUGGAUGGGCGAUUGGGUGCGAUGCGGUGCGGUGCGUUUAGCUUACUUUUUAUCUCACGCUAUAGUAUCGUUACAGUAUCUAAUCUCACCGCCACCGCUGUUUUUACACUAACCGCAGGUAAACGCACCGCUUAUCUAAACUUACCCUAGGAGUUAAAAUGUUCAUAUUGCUCAUGUGCACUAAUGUUAUAACUUCUAAAAAAAAUCUGACGAAACAACACAGAAGCUUCGCAAUGGAGUGUCAUAGAUACAAACAACUAGUGGAAUCUUCAGGACACAUAAUUUUCUUAUGUCCUUAUUUCACAAGCAGUAUGGAGGGCACCAAGCUUCUAUUAUUAUCUUUCUCUGAUUUGGUUUUUCCUUUUACGUUGAAUGGUGGAAUGAGGUUUCCAACAUGUUGAACCAAAACGGGUAAGGGUUUGAUCUAAGCCGUAACUUGCAAUUCCAUUUGGAAAGUUUGGAAAGGGAAUCAAAUCAUGUCCAAAGCAAGUCUAGAAACCAGAUAAAUUAAUGGCCCAAAGCAUUUCUCUUUCAUCGCCAUAGAAAGGAGUAGAACAUCCAUGGAGUACUACCUCUCAACUAUUGGUACAAUCAAUGUUAACAUGGAUGAUAGUUUUAGAAAUGUGAAUAGAAAGGAAAUAAUCAUAGACAUUGCUAGGGAUUCACGGGAAAAUAUAAUUAGUGGGACCAAUACACUAAUUCUUAGCUCAUCUACAUAAGUGAUUUAGUCUCGAAAAUGUUAUGGUUGUUUAGUUUUUGUCCACUUAUUGAAUCUGAUAUUUUGAGUGUAAUAUAUUUGUUUGUAAAUUUUAAUUUUUUAAUAGACUGAUUAAUAAAAUAAAUUCAUAGAUUACAUCAAUAUAAUUUGUAUAAUUGUCCUCAUAUGGUUUUUGUACGUAAAACAAAAUAGAAUCAAUAAUUUAUUGUUUGUCUAAUGUUUAAACUAAUACUAAACGAUAUUUCGUGGUCAAAUCGUGAUGCGGAAAGAUAAAUUAUAUUAGUAGAUGAACCUAAACAAGUCUUUAGUAUAAUUGGAAAUGGGCAAACUGAUUGAAAGACUAAUAUGUCGUCUAUCAAGUUCAACUGUGGAGAUGCUUGUCUUGGGCAUCAGAGUGAAUGACUCUCAGAAAUAGAGAUAAGGAUGUAACUGGCUAGACUACUAGUACAUCGAACAGGACCUAAGAAGAAUAGAUCCUGAAUUCGUUAAUGGAUUUAUUCACUUGUGAUGUUUAUAGUGUGACAUAACUAAAUACUGAGUGGAUGACGGACUACGUAUGCAUGACUUAUAUACUUUGAUAUAAGUAAAAACCUGAAUUCAGAUAGACAAUGAACUGAAAGCUGGUGUAUCGGAUAUACGACUUCUAUAGUAUGUAGCGUCAUUCACAAUAGUAGAAUUCAUAGUUCGAAACAUGGGUAAAUGAUAUCUUCUCAUUGACAUUACAUAGUUAGUGAAAAGCAAAAUCGCUUUAUAAAAUUAUUUGUUUUACGCACGAUACAUAAUCACAUCUUAAGAGGAAGGAACAAGGCAGUUGAUUAGGUGACAAAUAAAAUGUUCAAUGAAAAUUAUCCUCUAAAUAAGGAAAAGUCGAAAGUCAACUCUAAUUAAAGUGUUUGAACGGAUUAUGUAAUACAAAAUCUAAAAAUUCCAAUUAUCUAAAACCAAAUCGAAUUUAAAAUUUAUUUAAUAUAAAGUUAAUUUUAAUUUUUUUAUUAUAUAGAAAUACAUGUAAUUUAUUCAUGAAUAUCUCUCAUUACUUUAACAUAUUAUGUGAUAUCUUAUGUUGGAAUCUUACAGGUAGUUUCUACGAAUUACGAAGGAUAUUAUUGUGAUAUGUGCAGCAUAUUAUACAGUAAUGUACGGCAUAUCUUUUAUUAUAUCUUACAAAUAUAUUCGACUUGUCUAAAAAAGUUGAUUUUUCAUGUUCGUGGAACCUUUCGUAACCCCAAAAGGUCAAUAUUUGUGGUCAUGAUGGCUAGGAUCUCAAUAGUUAAAAUUGCCUGUAACACAACAUCAUAUUCAAUUACGCUUAAUAUACCAUUUAGUAUCUAAGUUUAGUUUUAAUAUUUAAUUUGAUACCUAACUUAUUUUUAUCCCAAUUUGAUACCCAAGUUUGAUUUUGUUGUUAAAUUUAAUAUCUAAACCAAAUGUCAUCACAUGGCUCGAUGAGUGUUUGACGCAUUUGCUUUAGUUAAAAAACGUAGGUACUUAAUUGGGAUAGAAAAAUGCUCAGGUAUCAAAUUGAAUAUGGAAGCCAAAUUGAGGUACUUAAUUGGGACAAAAGAGAACUUGAGUAUCAAUUUGAAAAAAAUCAAGUACCAAAAUUAACAUUAAAGCCUAACUCAGGUACCAAAUUGAAUAUUGAAUUCAAGUACGAAAUGAAAUAAAAAAGUUUAAAUACUAAAUUGAAUAGCAAAGUGAAAUUUAAAGUACCAAGUCUGUAAAUGUUAAAAAAUUGGAAACACAGACACCAUCUUUGAUUCUUUUCACGUUUUCCAAGUCAAAGAAAAUCAUAGCUAGAAGAUCUGUGGAGAUUUUAUAUUAUAUGUAAUCUACCGCAUCUUUACUUUCUCCGAACUGUCUGAUUUUCUCCAAUGGGGAUUUGCAUCUUUUGUUUCCCAUUCCCAUCCCCAUCCCUUUUAUAACUCACCUCCCAUUUCUCCUUUUCCUCAACAUUCCAAUCUUCUUUUCUGGGUGUAUUUUGCUUUGUUGAAUUCAUCAUAUCUUCUUCACUAAUCAUGGUUAUGGCUGCUUCCGAGACUAAAUUCCAUGUUCUUGCUGUUGAUGAUACCCUGAUUGAUAGAAAGCUCAUUGAAAAGCUUCUCAAGACUUCUUCUUAUCAAGGUUCGUUUCUUUUCUACCAAACAGGUUUUUCUUUUUCUACCAAACAGGGUUUGUUCUUAUACUUAUAUGGGUGGUGUUUGCAGUUACUGCAGUGGAUUCUGGAACCAAGGCAUUGGAGUUUCUUGGAUUGAACAACAAUGAUCAUCAAGAUGUUGAAGUGAACCUGAUCAUCACAGAUUACUGUAUGCCAGGGAUGACAGGCUAUGAUCUCUUACGAAAAAUCAAAGAAUCUUCAUCAUUCAAAGACAUACCAGUUGUCAUCAUGUCUUCGGACAAUAUCCCAUCAAGAAUCAACAGGUUUGGCCUCUUGAAAACAUGUUAUUUAAUCAAAGUUGGAUUCAUCAAUUUUAGCUGACAUGAAAUUUUAUUGAAAUCAGAUGCCUUGAAGGUGGAGCUGAAGAGUUCUUUUUGAAGCCAGUUCAAUUAUCAGAUGUAAACAAGCUUAGGCCUCAUUUGAUGAAAAGAACGCAAACAAAUGUAAACAAGAGAAAGGCGAUGGAUGAAAUUGUGUCCCCUGAUAGAACGAGGGCAAGAUACAAUGAACUGGAAGUGAAUUGAAUCACCAAAUUCAUCAAUAUUUUCUGAUUUAUUAUUAGAUCAUCAAUUAGGGAAAAGAAAUUCUGGACUCUCUCUUUGCUUAACCAAAAUCAGUGUAUAGGAAAGAGGAGAGAGGCUAUGUAAAUCACCAUAAGGAAGAAAUAUAGCUCAAUUUUUUUGAAAUGAAUUUCAUUUCAACAUCAAUUUAAACAGAUUGCUUAUUACAAUAAUUAAGGGAUGUUAUUUCAAUAAUGAACAGAGGAAUUCUAUGGUUUAGGGUUAGCAAUAGAACUGACAAUUUGGUCCGAAGUAGGAGGAGGAUUUUUCUUUUACGACUGUGAUUCCAACUCAGAUUAUAUUUAGAGUAUAUGAACAUCUGACUAAGAUAAUUUUUGUUCUCUGUUCGAGAAUUCUUCUCAAAGCUUGAGAUGAAUUAGAUUACAACUAUAUUUAUUACGAUGACUUACUAUAAGUAGAAUUAAACAUUACGAAGCAAAAAGCAAAUAUAACCUACCUAGAGUAAAAUAAUUCUGGAUAGGAUCUGGACGAGAUUUAAGCAAAAAUAAAUCUUUUUUUUUUUUAAAUUGACUUUUGGUUUUAAAAAAUAAAAAUUAAGGUUGCCACCAAUCACUUUUAAGAGGCGCGAUCGAGCCAUCUCGUAAUUUGAUCGUUUUAAUAAGAGGUCUGAUUUAUUAAAACAAUAUUUUUCGGUCUACAAAAAUCUAGAAAAUGAGUUUAGGAGUCAGUUACGCACGAGGAAGGAUUAACACCCUCGUCACGCCCAAAAUUGAUACCUAGCUGAUUAAUUGAUGUCUUAGUAUCGAGAAUUGAAAAUUUGAAAAUAGUUUAAAACACAACCCCACUUUGCAUCAUGUUAUUUUCAAUUUAAAAUCGCUUGAAUAAAUAAAAAAUGUAUGUAAAAGACUCUCUUAUCUCGAGGUAACAAAAGGUCAUAUCCCGUAAGUUAGGAUACGACAUCCCGAAUCCUCGAAAAUAACUUUGCUCUUUAUUGAAGUUACUAUUUAAAUCUCAUGUGUUUUAAUUUUAAAAGGAAUGUUUGGUCAUCUAAGUUCAAAGAGAAAGUCGAAUCCCGUAAGUUACGGCACGACUUUUCGAAUCUCUAAAUACGGAACAUUACCUUAAUUUUGGUUAUUUCUUAUAAGUCGUGUAAAAAACGGAUUCACUAUUUAAUAUGAUAUGUGAUUGAGCCGUAGUGAGGAAACAAAUAACUGUAUUUAAACCUAAGGGAAAAUAUAGUAUAGACUAAAUAAAAAUAAAAUGGCUACUCGAAUAAAUAGAAGAAAAAUGGAAAUGAUCAUAGUAAAAAAAAACAAUAAUAAAUAGGUAGCUGAGAUCACGAUAAUCUAAUAAUAAUAAUGCAACACAAAUUGAUCAUAAUAAUAACGAUAAUGGUUAUAAUAUGAUUAAUAUUUUAUUUAAUAACAUAAUAAAGAAUAAUAAUAAUGCAACAACAAUUUAUAAUAAUAAUGGUAUAGUAAUAUGCAUAAUAAAAUAUAAAAGUAUAGCAAUAAUAUUAAUAAAUCAUAAUAUUAAUAUGCAUAAAUAAUAAUUAUGAAAAUGAUAAUAUAAAUAACAAUAACAAUAUAUAAUAACAUAAAUUAUAAAUAAUCUAAAUUUUUGAAAGUUCAUAAAAAGUAAUAAAUAAAUAAAUAAUGGAAUAAUAAUAAAAAUGAUAAUGGCAAAAUAAAAAAAUACAAAAAACAAGCCAAUUAUAAAUAUAUAAAAAGAAGGAAAUAAUAAAAAGUGAAAACUAAUAAAAGUUUGAUUAAAAAUUGAAAAUAAAUAAAUAAAUAAAAAUAAUAAAUGAAAUAGUUUAAAAAAUAAAAAAAUUGAAGUUAAAUAGACUAAGGAUUUAAUUGAAAUCGGAAUGAAAUUAGGGGUACAAAUUGUACAUAAUAAAAAAAUAAUAAAACAGAAAUAAGCAUCAAUAUAAAAUGCACGAAAAGAAUUAGGGACCAAAAGGGAAAUUACCCCAAAUCCCUAAACUCGCCAUUUAACGAAGGACUAAAAGGAGACAAAAUAAAAAUCAAAUGGUAAUUUUUUUUAAAAAAGAAGCGAAAUAGGACUGGAUUGAAAUGCUAUUAAAAAUCGGAAGGACUGAAAGCAUAAAUAUACCAUUUAAAAAAACGGAUCUAGUGGGUCAGAUCGGGUCGGAUUGGGUUUGAAUCAAAACGACGUUAUUUUGACGUCUGAAAAUCAGCCCAAAACGUCGCUGUUCUAUACCACCUAUUUAAGUAAAAAUUUCCUAAAAAAUUUAAUUUUAGCUUGGUUUGAGAAAAAAAAAAUUAAAAACCCUCUUCUCUCUGAAACGCACCCUAGGGCUGGUCUUGGGCGCCGUAGUGGCUCCGCCAAUGCCACCGGCCUUCAGUGACGACGGCCGCCGCCCACGGUAGCCGGAGUCCACUAAAAAAACCAAUUUUGGCUACUUUCCUUCCCUAAACCCAAGAUCUGAGACCAAAAUCCUCAAAAAAAAAAACCCAACAAAAUACCCAAAAAGACUAAAAACUUUUCGAUUCUUAACUUCUCCGCCGUGGCCUCGGCCGGAAAUGGUAACAUCGGCGGCCCAUUUCAACAGUAUCAUACACAAAGUACAUAUGGUAAGACUCUAGACAGUCCCAAACACAUGGUAAGACUCAGGUCCUGUUUUUCUAUUGGAAAUUGUAGAUUGUAAAUUCAUUAGAUAUUAUUAAUGGAUCACUUAGUGUGAUUCAUGAGCACUUAAAGUGAUGAUUCAUUAAUCCAAUGGAUACAUUUGAUUUUCAUGAGUCAUAUUUUUUCUAAGAAGUAUGUCCAAUACGAAGGGUUGUGAUUAUUCUGUCAAUUGAGUGCAUAUCAAUAAAGGGAUUAUGGUUCUCAAAACAUAAUUAUUAUAAUCAGUCCAAUUUUAGAAAUUAGAGUAAGAGUUAGGUAAUUCCUCGAUUUACAAAUCAAAGUAAAUAAAAAAGUUUCGUUGUAUACUGGGAGGACCUUCGUCUUAACCUUCUAACAACUUUGUGUGAGGACAAAUUGUUCUCUUUGAAAAGCGUCACCCGUAUCUCAAAAUCUAUUGUUUUAAUUUCAUAUCAUCUCUGAAUCUAUUGUCUCCACUCAAAUUCUCCAUAUUUUCAAAUUCUCCAUAUUUUCAAGAUCCAAAGACUUCAAUUUUUGACUUUUUAGUAACGGAGACAAACUCUCAUUCACAAAAGAUUGGUUUGCGAUUAUGUGGUGCAUUUUUACGAGUCCACUAGCUCUAAGUGGAACCAAUAAUUGCUUGAAAGAUGAGAGGAAAAUAGGCAAGGAUUGGUUAGCAAUUAUGAGUGGAUUUGCUAUAUUCCCACUCUAGUGGAACUAAAACUUGAUAAUGGUCGUUUGAAUUGCAAUCAAUUCAUAGCUUAAAAUGAAAAGCAAGACAUGGUUUGUAGAAUGAUUAGACAUUUGGUUGGUAAUAACACUUGAGUGCAAAGUGACAGGUAUAAUUGUAUGCGUAUCACUUCAUUCCCCACAUUACAUUAGUAGAAUCAGAUUAUAUAUAUGAUGGCCAUUCCCUACCAACGGUGUGAAGUAAAAGAAAGCUUUUGAUUUGGCAUCUCUUAUUAUUCUUAUAUCUCCACAUGCCACUUGAUUCUACUAUUGAGAUUUAAAUAUAAUUUUCUGAUUUGCAGGGAAAGAGACCGCAUUUCCUAUUAUUAUUAAAUGACAACCUAAAACCAAUGGGCAAUUAGGUGGAAGUGCCCAACUAGAUGCAUACAUAAUACAUGGUCAGGCACAUGCAUGUUCAUGUGUGUAUGGAUGGUUCUUGUGCAGGCAGGCAGUGAGCAACUGGGUGGUUCCAUGAGUUGCCAUGAAAUAUAUUCAAAUGGAAGUGGUUCUUAUUCAAGAGCGAUUAAAUCAAAUAUUAAUCCAUGUCUAGAAAUAUAAUUUGGCUCUAAACCUUAUACUGUAUUUUCCUGUUUUAAACAUAAAUCCAUUUUAGUUCCUAGUUGGUGGUGGUCUUUGUUUCUGGCUUGUGCUGCUUGUAAACCACAAUCCUCAAUGGACACAUUGUUUUUUUAUUGGAACUGAUGCGUACUGGUACAAUUAUACAUCUGGUGCUUUCACAUCUAUGGAUCAUAAUUAUCGUCCAGUCAAAUGCUGUUUUAUUAGAUAAAACGAUUAUUGUUGGACAUUCUUAUUCUCAUUAAUAACAAUUGAAACCUCUAAACAUAGUAGACUUACAUAAACUUAUUUUAAAACUGAAAAAUAAAAAAAAUUAAAUUAUUACACCACAUGAGGAUGCACAUAAAAAUGCAUGUGAAGAGUCUAUAGAAAGUGUAAAAGUAUAGAAGCAAUGAUAGGCAUCCUUAGAUGGGGGGAAUUGAUUCAUAAACUAAGAAACAUUGCAUUUAAAUUUAAUUAGAAAUUUAAACAUGCAUCUCAUCAACCUUGCUUGAUCAAUUAAACAAAUUUUAUGAGAUUUAUUUAUUAUUAUACAAAAAAUAAUUUUUUAACUUUCGAUAAAUACAUGUGUAUAAUUUACUUUCGGUAAAUACAUGCGUAUAAAUAAAAAUAUACAAAAAGUUUUCUCUCAAUUGAUGUCCAAAGUUUAUAAGCAACUUUUUGGUCGAGCUAAAUUCAAUGCUUUCCAACGAACAUUAGAACAAGAUAAUUGAGUAGGUUUAGUCAAAUAUGACAAAUUGACAUUUGCAAUCUAAUCCUUGGAGCUACAAUCAAAUUUUAUAACCACUGGUGUAGAUGAUAUUUCUCGAAUACCUUCAUUUAUGAUAUCUUCAACUUUUAUUCUGGAUACUUGCAAUCAUUGAAAUAUAAACAAGAUUCAAGGGAAUUUUUCGUUACCAUUGGUUCAACAAAUUUUAAGCUCAAAAUACUUAAAAUUAAUAUUAUAAUUGCAAUAUAUUAUACCAGAUUGGGACAAUUUAGAUUGAGUGGCAAUAAUUCUAAUCAAUUAUGAUAGAAUUUUGAAAAUUUCUCUUAAAAGAAUCCAUAAAUCGAAUUUCUUGGAUAAACCCAAUACUAGGCCUGCCCAUGACUUGAUGCUCAGCCCAAUUUGAGUGCCCAAAAAUUGUCUUUCUUACGGUGACAUUCUGGACCUCCUCUGUUCAAAUCUUUUGCUAAACUUUCAAUGCUGCAGAGUGCAAAUAAAUUACCAAAAUAAACCAAUUAUGUCCUUAAUAAUAAUAAUAAAUCAAAAGGAAUUUGAUUUUAUAUCCAAGUACCUAAUGCUAUGACCAGGACUGUCCAUAAAGUCUUGGUACCGGGACCAAUUGAGAUGCAGUCAUCUCCAGUUUUGAUUGAGCAUUUUGCAAUAUUGACAUUCUUGGAUAACUAGACAUGGAUGCCAUCGGUGUUAGGGCUAUUACCAGCAGCGAUGAUCCUAACACCCUGGACGUCAACAUUUUUGCAUCCAUUGAUCACGAUGUGAACCAUUUUGCUAUUUAAGGACAAUAAACUACGGAUCCUAAUGUUCUUGGAGUUGGUAAAGCUUAACGUUUGCUCUCACACACAAAUGAAAAUUAGCAUGUCAAUUACAUGGAUAAUAAAGACUUAAUUAGAAUCAUACAGGAACUUAAGUGACAAAUGAAAAGUGAAAUAUAAUAGUACCGUGGCUCCGGAGGACAGUUGCAGUGGGAAGCUUUGCGAGCCCAGAGAGGUGGUCCUUUGGCAUCAAGGGCACCACCAAGGAUUGAAACGCCAUUCACUCCUUCAAAGCUCAGCCAAUCGGUAGAUUUGCCUAGUACUCUAUAAUCCUGAGGGGCUACCAGGGUGCCGUUGAUUAUAUCAUAGUGAUUUGAGGGCUUUUGCAGCCACCUUGGAAGGCCAUAGAACCGAGUAAAUACCGGCCUUUGGGUAUAGAUAUCAUAGUGGAGUCAGCUGAGCUACAGGUUGCUUCCCAUGCCAUGAGGAAAGCCUUGGUGGAGGAGUCAGUUUUUCCAUUAGGCUUAGCCCCAAAGUUAAAUACAUUGUACUUUGUUGUUGCAGACGUUGAAUUUAUGGCUAACAUGAAAAGGAGAAUGAGGAAAAAGGCAUGAGAAGGACGUGUGAGGCUCAUCAUUUGAGACAGAGUGAUGGAAGUAGUGAAACAAGGUGAAACUGAAAGCGAGUUAAGCUGUAUUGUUUGAUAAGUAGGUGAUUGAUGAAUGAGAAGAGUUACAGAGAAAAUAGAUAUUUAUAGUUUAGCAGAUUGAGGAUAAUUAAGUUUAAGAGCAGAAAAGAGUAUCUGUGUAUAAUUGUGGAAGUGUAGGAUUAAAUAAAGCUGGCGUUUUGUGCGUUUGGAGUACAACCACCAUUCAAAUCUAAGUUAUUCUUGAAGAGAAAAACACUAAAUCGAUAGGCCAAAAUUUAAAAUUUGGAGUACAAGAUGUUUUAUUUCUUUCAAUUUUUGGUUUGACUCACAAUGGCUAAUUGUCUAAUUGUUCUCCUAGGUAAUUUACAAACUAAAGAAUGAAGUAAUCACAUGUCAACGACUGUCACAUUAAAUCAAAUAAAAUUUUGUUGGUUAAGAAGGAUAAAUCAAACGUUUACAUUUAUUUAUUAUUAUAUAGAAAGAAUAAAUAAUUUUCACCCAAUAAAUACAAGUAUGAAAAAGAGAAGGAGAAAUUUCGUCUUCCGUCAAUUGAACUCCAAGAUUCAUAUGCAACUUUCUGGUCGAACUAAAUUCAAUGCUUUCCCACGAACAUUGGAACAAGAUGAUUGAGCAGGUUUAUUCAAAUACGACAAAUUGACAUUCUGCAAUCGUAUCCCAGUGCAUGGAUUCUUCGGGCUACAAUCAAAUUUUAUAGCUACCUCUGUGGAUGACGUUCCUCGAAUACCUUCAUAUAUAAUAUCUUUAAUUUUAAUUCCGGAUACCUACCCUCAUUGAAAUAUAAGAAAAAUUAGUUCAACCGCUUCAAGUGACAUGUACCAAAAAUAAAUAAAAAUCAAGGGCAUUUCCAUUUCCUAUUGGUUUAACAAUUUUUAACCUAAAAAUAUUUGGAAUUAAUACUAUAAUUGCAAUAUAUUAUACCUGAUUGGGACAAUUUAGAUUGUGUGGGCAAUAGUUCUGAUCAAUUACAAUAGGAUUUUGCACAUUUCUCAUCAAAGAAUCCAUAAAUCGAACUCCUUGAACAAAUCCAGUACUAGGCCUAGCCCAUGACUUGAUCCUUAACCCAUUUUGAGUGCCCAAAAAGAUUGUAUUUCUUACUGUAACAUUUUGAACCCCCUCCUCUUUUAAAUCUUUUGCUAAACUUCCAAUGCUGCAAAGGACAAAUAAAUCGAAAUAAACCAAUUAUAUCAAUAAUAAUAAUACAUAAUAAAAAAAUUAAUUAAUUUUAUAUCCAAGUAUGAAGUACCUAAUGCCAUGGCCAGGACCACAAGUGAUUUGUUCGAUCCAUAAAUUCUUGGUACCGGGACCAAUCGAGAUGCAGUCGUCUCCAGUUUUGAUUGAACAUUUUAUGAUAUUCACAUUCUUGGAUAAUUGGACAUGGAUGCCAUCGGUGUUGGGGCUAUUACCUGCCGCGAUGAUCCUAACCCCUUGGACAUUCACAUUUUCACAUCCAUUGAUCACGAUGUGAAACAUUUGGCUAUUUAAAGACAAUAAGCUACGGAUCCUGAUGUUCUUGGAAUUGGUAAAGCUUAAUGUCUGCUCUCACACACAAACCAAAACUAGUAAGUCAAUUACAUCCACGAUAAAGGCUUAAUUAGAAUCAUAUAGGAAGUGAAAAAUGAAUACUACCGUAGCUCCGGAAGGACAGUUGGAGUGGGAAGCUUUGCAAGCCCAGAGAGAUGGUCCUUUGGCAUCAAGUGCACCACCAAGGAUUGAAACGCCAUUCACUCCUUCAAAGCUCAGCCAAUCGGUAGAUUUGCCUAGUACUCGAUAAUCUUGAGGGGCGACCAGGGUGCCGUCAAUUCUGAAAAUGAUUUGAGGGCUUUUGCAGCCACCUUGGAAGGCCAUAGAACCGAGCAAAUACCGGCCUUUUGGUACAUAUAUGAUGGUGGAGUCAGCUGAGGCACAGGCUGCUUUCCAUGCCAUGAGGAAAGCCUUGGUGGAGUCAGUUUUUCCAUUAGGCUUAGCCCCAAAGUUUAACACAUUGUACUUUGUUAAUGCAGACGUUGAAUUUAUGGCUAACAUGAAAAAGAGAAUGAGAAGAAUGGAAUGAGAAGGACGUGUGAGGUUCAUCAUUUGAGACAGCUUUGCUCUAAAGAAAAUUGAGACAAGGAUGGACUAAUAUAUAGAUCAGAAAAUUGAGUGAAUGAAUGAAGCUGAAACUGAAAACGGGUUAGGCUGUAUUGUUUGGUAAGAAAAUCGAUUGAUGAAUGAGAAGAAUUUAUGAGAAAAUGGAUAUUUAUAGGUUAGCAAAUUCAGGAUAAUUAAAGAGUAUAAAUGUAUAAUAGUGAAAGUGUAGGAUUAAAGAAAGGUGCCGUUUUUGUGUGUUUGUAUGAAAUACAGUGUGCUAUUCGCAGCAUGCUUGGCUACAACUUAAGCUGCAUUUAACUAAUUAGAUGCUAAUAAUACAUUUGGUGUUGAAUGUAAGAAGGAAUAUCAUCACCUUCUUGCUUGCACAUGAGACAAUCUAAUUGUUCUUUUAUUUAUCCCAAAGAUACGUUUCAUCAAACUCCCGCAGUCAUAUAAGCUUAUAUUGUAUUUGGCAAUGAUUGCUGUUGAACUCAGUUUCCUGUUAAUCUGGCAUAGCAAUGGGGAGUUCUUUUAAAGCUACCAAAACCCUGAAUUUAUGGUAGUUUAUACAAUCAUUGCUCCUAUUUUACAAAUUCAAAAGGGAGUUUAUUUAAAGCUACCAUUAUCCAUAUCUAUAUUAUUAGAAGAGGAGAUGCAUCUCAAACAGCAUCACUUCCAACCAAGUCAAAACAUCUAUAUCUAUACUAAUAUUAAUGUUUUACUGAUACACUACCUGCACCUAGAAAAAAAGACCCUAUCAAGCUUCACUGUUUCUUGGGAUUCGCUUUGGGCUUUUCCUGCGCAGCUUAGGUGGAAGGCGGAAAAGGCCUCCUUCGGGGGCCCAAGCUAUCACUGAGAUAUCACUUUGGAAGAGCUAGAAUUUCAAUCUUGUGUCAGAACCUACGGGCCAAUAUGUCACCAAUUAACUUCACAUCAACUUAAUUGUAAAAUUACUAAAAUAUUUUCUUUUAUAUAAAUUAAGUUAUAUUUUUACGAGACUAUUUUAAUCUUUUUUAUAUAUAAUAAAUAAAUAAAAUUUUGAUUAUAAUUAGAUUUCAACCCGAACAUCAUCUAUAAUAAACAUUUGACUUUAGGAUUAUAAUUAAAAUAUGGGUUAAAUUUUAUAUAAAUAUUUAAUAAAAAUGGAAUGAGAUUGAAGUAGAGGUGCUCAUGGGCCGGGCGGCCCGACGGUCCGCCUAAAAUAUGGGAGGGUUUAGGUAAAAAUAUAUGCCCGAAAUAUGGGCUUGGGCAAAAAAUGAGGCCCGUUUAGAAAGAGGGCCGGGCCUCAGGCACAAAUUUUUUGGCCUGGGCCUAGCCCGAUAUAAUAAAUAUAUUUAUUUUUUAAAUUUUUUAAAUUUUAAAAUAUUUUUAAAAUACUUUUUUUAAUUUUUUUAAUUUUUAAAAUAAAUUUUUGAUAUUUUAUUAAAAAUGGGCCGGGCCAGGCCCGGGCUUAUGAUUUUUUCUAGGGCCGGGCCUGGUCAAAAUUUUAGGCCCAUAUUUCGGGCCGGACCAGACCCGGGCCAAAAUUUUUUAUGGGCCCGCCCAUGAGCACCUCUAGAUUGAAGGCAGGCCGUUUAACUUCAUGUUGAAUUAAUGUAAAGCCUUGUUUUAUUUUUGAAGGAACGUAAAGCCUUUUCUAAUUUAUAUGUAUGUAUUCUUAUCAAGCGAAAAGUUGGUUUAUCUGGUUUACAAUUUACUUUAUAAUUAAUUUUUUUUCGAAACAAUGAUUAUACUCUCUUGUAAUUACAAAGAACUAUAAUUCCCAAGAUGUAUUUGGUUGAUAGCGGGUAAUGACAUCAUAGUUUUCUAUAUUAUAUUUGGCAGUACAAAUUGUAAUUACACAGUUACAUGAUUUAUAUUUAAAAAAUAUUAAUUACUAUAAAAAAUAUUAGAAUGAUAAAAAUAAUUUCUAAACAAGUAAAAAAAUUAAAAUCAAAUCAUCAUAUGUAUCAUGCUAGUCUAAAAAAUUAGUUAAUAAUACAAUUACUAAUAAAAAUAAGAAGAAAAACAUUGUUUUUCAUGUUAUACUAAGGUGAUGUUGCUAAUACGGAAAAUAUUUUUUUUACAACGUCUUUGCAUACAAUUUUGAUAGUUAUACAUAACUCUAUUGAGAAAUGUAGAUAUAAAAAUGUUUGGCAAAAUUCAAUUAAGAGAGCAAUUGACUUAUGCUAUGAGAAUGAGUGAUCUAAUUUAAAUAAAUCGUGCAUUUGAGUUUGUUAAUUAGAAUUGAGUUGUUCUAAUUCGUUAGGAUGUUGGCAAGUUAAAUUUUAGGAAUAUCUCUUAAGGUUAUUCAACUUGCAAGGGCUAAUUGUCGAGCUGUUCACGCAAUUAAUUUACAAACUAAAGAAUGAUGCAAUAACGUGUUUCAAAAAUAACGAUUGUAACAUUAAAUCAAAUUAAAUUUUGAUGGUAGAGAAGAAUAAAUCAAACAAUUUUUACAUUUAUUUAUUAUUAUAUAGAAAGAAUAAAUAAUUUUCACCCAAUAAAUACAUUUAUAAAUAAGAGGAGAAAUUAUGUUUUCUGUCGAUUGAUCUCCAAGAUUUAUAAGCAACUUUCUGGUCGAACUAAAUUCAAUGCUUUCCCACAAACAUUGGAACAAGAUGAUUGAGCAGGUUUAUUCAAAUACGACAAAUUGACAUUCUGCAAUCGUAUCCCAGUGCAUGGAUUCUUCGGGCUACAAUCAAAUUUUAUAGCUACCUCUGUGGAUGACGUUCCUCGAAUACCUUCGUAUAUAAUAUCUUUAAUUUUAAUUCCGGAUACCUACCCUCAUUGAAAUAUAAGAAAAAUUAGUUCAACCGCUUCAAGUGACAUGUACCAUAAAUAAAUAAAAAUCAAGGGCAUUUCCAUUUCCUAUUGGUUUAACAAUUUUUAACCUAAAAAUAUUUGGAACUAAUACUAUAAUUGAAAUAUAUUAUACCUGAUUAGGACAAUUUAGAUUGUGUGGGCAAUAAUUCUGAUCAAUUACAAUAGGAUUUUGCACAUUUCUCAUCAAAGAAUCCAAAAACCGAACCCCUUGAACAAAUCCAGUACUAGGCCUAGCCCAUGACUUGAUCCUCAGCCCAUUUUGAGUUCCCAUAAAAGUUGUCUUUCUUAUAGUGACAUUUUGGACCCCUUCCUCUUUCAAAUCUUUUGCUAAACUUCCAAUGCUGCAAAGUGGAAAUGAAUCGGAACAAAUCAAUUAUACCAAUAAUAAUUAAAAGAAAUGAAAAGGAAAUAAUUUUAUAUCAAAGUACCUAAUGCCAUGACCAGGACCGCAAGUGACUUGUUCGACCCAUAAGUUUUUUGUACCGGGACCAAUCGAGAUGCAGUCAUCUCCCGUUUUAAUUGCACAUUUUAUGAUAUUCACAUUUUUGGAUAAUUGGACAUGGAUGCCAUCGGUGUUGGGGCUAUCACCUGCGGCGAUGAUCCUAACUCCUUGGACGUGUACAUUUUCGCAUCCAUUGAUCACGAUGUGAAACAUUUGACUAUUUAAGGACAAUAAUCUACGGAUCCUAAUGUUUUUGGAGUUGGUAAAGCUUAACGUCUGCUCUCACACACAAAUGAAAAUUAGCAUGUUAAUUCAUGGAUGAUAAAGGUUUAUUUAUUAUAUAGUAUUGUGUAGCCUAGAAUCAUAUAGGAAGUGAAAAAUGAUUACUACCGUAGCUCCGGAAGGACAGUUGGAGUGGGAAGCUUUGCAAGCCCAGAGAGAUGGUCCUUUGGCAUCAAGUGCACCACCAAGGAUUGAAACGCCAUUCACUCCUUCAAAGCUCAGCCAAUCGGUAGAUUUGCCUAGUACUCUAUAAUCCUGAGGGGCUACCAGGGUACCGUCAAUUCUAAUAGUGAUUUGAGGGCUUUUACAGCCACCUUUGAAGGCCAUAGAACCGAGAAAAUACCGGCCUUUGGGUACAUAUAUCAUAGUGGAGUCAGCUGAGCUACAGGCUGCUUCCCAUGCCAUGAGGAAAGCCUUGGUAGAGUCAGUUUUUCCAUUAGGCUUAGCCCCAAAGCUUAACACAUUGUACUUUGUUGUUGCAGAUGUUGAAUUUAUGGCUAACAUGACAAAGAGAAUCAGAAUAAUUCCAUGAAAAGGGCGAGUGAGCUUCAUCAUUUGAGACAGCUUUGCUCUAAAGAAAAUUGAGACAAGGAUGGACUUAUAUAUAGAUCAGAAAAUUGAGUGAAUGAAUGAAGCUGAAACUGAGACCGAGUUAAGCUGUAUUGUUUGGUAAGAAAGUCGAUUGAUGAAUGAGAAGAAUUUAUGAGAAAAUGGAUAUUUAUAGUUUUAAGAAGGUGAUUGAUGAAUGAGAAGAGUCUCAUGAAAAUGGAUAUUUAUAGUUUUGCAGAUUAAGGAUUAAAGAGAAUAAUUGUGGAAGUGUAGGAUUAAAGAAAGCAGCUGUUUUGUGUGUUUGUAUGAAAUACAGUGUGCUACGUGGAGCUUGCUUGGCUACAACUUAAGCGGCAAUUAAUUAAUUAAUUAGGAAUAAUACAUUUUGUGUUGCAUGCAAGUACAAGAUUCAUUCAGCUUCUUCCUUGUACAUGACACAAUCUAAAUUUUGUUUUAUUUAUUAAACAGAUAGGGUUCAUCCAAUUGCCGCAGUCACAUCAUGGUACAGAUGGUUAGUGUUUAUAGACAAUCUCUUUUCAUAGAAGCAUGUUUAUAAACUUAUUGAUAAAAAGAUAAAAGGAACCCCAAAAAUAGAUUUAGAUAAUAUGGCAGGGGAAAUUUUGGAUAACAUUUUAGGGGAAGUUGAAUUCAAGCAAGUCAAGUUUGCAUACUCUUAUAGGCCAAAGAGCAUAGUUUUCAACAUUUUUUUGUCUCAAAAUUCCUGCAAGAAAGACUAUGGCCUUGGCAUGGGAAGUAGUGGAUUAGGAAAAUCAACUAUGAUAUCAUUGUGGCAAAGGUUUUGUGACCCACUUGGAGGGGAAAUACUUGUUGAUGGUGUUUCUAUUAAUAAAUUGCAACUCAAAUGGUCAAGGUCACAAAUGGGGUUGGUUAGUCAGAAGCCCACAUUGUUUGCAACAACCAUUAAAGAGAACAUACUAUUUGGAAAGAAAGAUGGUAGAAUGGAAGAGGUUAUUGAAGUUACUAAAGCUUCCUAUGCUCAUAAUUUCAUUUCCCAAUUGCCUCAAGGAUAUUACACACAGGUUUGCUUGCUUAUCUUUUGUAUUUUAUUACGUUUUAUCAUGUAAAAGUAUUGUAGAGGCUUCUGUAUUAAGAGUCAGAUUACAUUUUGCUCUAUCUAUUAAUUAGUUCCUAUAUGUUAGAUCAAACAGUAAAUUGAUCUACCUGUUAAAAGUUUCAUCCAAUUCUACUCUUAAAAAUUAGUUUUUGUUCGCCAACAAGAGGUACAAAUGGCAUAUCAUGUGUCAUUGCCUAGUUAUUCUGGCAACUAUACUAGUUUUUAACAGUACAAAUGUAUGAAACUUUUAACAUAAAUGACUAAUUUACUCUUUAAUCUAACAUAUAGGGAUUAAUUUGCCUAUUUUAUUUAAUAUAGGAAACGAAAUAAAAUCUAACUCCUAAUAUAUAGAUUUUCAUGUAUUCUUACCAAUUUUAUCAACAUAUCCAUUAUAAUGCACACACUAAUUAAUUAUAUAUACAAGCAUAACACCAAAAGAAGAAUUUAAUAAGAACUAAUGUAGAAUACUCACUAUGAUGUUAGCUAUCCUAGAUAGAAAUCAACAAAUUGCUUAACUAAUUUUUCCUAAGUGCUGUGAUUAAAUUUAAGCACAUAUCUUACUACUAAUUUCAAUCUCUUUAUUACAGUUUUCAACUUCACUACUAAAAUAUUUAAUCUCACCACCAUUAUUAUUUUCAAUCUCAUCCGAAUCUUCUAUAUAUUUUAUUAUCUUGACUAAGUCUAUAGAUCAUAUAUAUGAUCUAAAGAUAAUUGUAAACAGAUUGCCGUAAGAGGGGUUCAAAUGUCUGGUGGACAGAAACAACGAGUUGCUAUAGCAAGAGCCAUGAUUAAAGCACCCAAAAUCCUUCUAUUAGAUGAGGCAACAAGUGCAUUAGACUCGGAAUCUGAAAGUAUUGUACAAGAAGCUCUUAUAAUGCCUCUGUUGGACGUACAACUAUUACCGUUGCACAUCGUCUUUCCGCCAUUAAACAUGCAGAUUGAAUUGCUGUUGUCCAAGAGGGCCACGUCAAGGAAAUUGAGUCACAUGAUGAGUUAAUGGUCAACAAAUAGACCAAGUACUAGAAAAAGGAAAUAAUGAUUUAUCUAUGGAUGGCUUAGCUUAUACAACAAACAUGGAAAACAAUAUUACAACAAGUUCACUAGAUCAUGCUUCACUAGUUGGAGAAAUGAAUGUUGAGGAUAAAAACGAGCAGAAAAUGACCAAUUUACAACACCAUUAAUAAAGUGGGGUUGAAUAAAAAAUGUGGAAAUAACCAAGGACUUAUCAAAUUUAUUUUGACUUUGUAAAACUCAAAAUUAGAAAAAAAAUCUAAUUCUAUUUUUUAUUAAAUUUUAAUUAUGUACUCCCAUUUACAUUUCCUUAUUUUUACAAAAUUUGUUUAAUUGCUUUUUAAGUCCCUUCCCUUCCCAACUUCCAUUUUUAUUCAAAUCCAAUUCAUAGCCAACUAAAGUAUGAUUAAAUUCAUGCUUUACUAAAUUCCAACUUAGCUUUAGACCGGUAUUCUUUUUGGUCAUGAAUCGUGAGAUAUGUAUCCGUACUAAAAAUCUUUCUAAUCGGUAUUCACAUUUUUCCUAAGUAUCGGGAUUGACAGCUCAUCACUUAAAGUUAACUCGAUUCUAAGUCAAAAAGCGCGUUGGGUUGGAGUCGUGUUUGCAGACAGUUGUGCAAACGAGUCGGUCGUGCUGUAUUCGGAUCUCCGAGAACAAAUCAAGGGAGAAGUGAUCAGGUUUAAACGACCCACGCGGUUGAAGCCGUUAAUCCGAGUUGGGUUCUUCAAAGCGCAAGGCUGCGGAAUCUUGAAUUGGGAACGCGAGUAUCUCGAUUAGAUAAUAGGUAAAGGUUGGUUUGCAGGUCGUACCGGGGCUAGCUACGAGAGGAAGAAUUGGCGGUUAGGACAUUCUUAACUAUUAUAACCAGCUUAUUGUUUGGAGGAGAAAAUUAAUUUUCGAGGAUCGAUUUAAAAUCCGGAAUCCACUGAGUCUAUCUCUGUUUACAAAAUCCGAAUUUAUUUCUCAAUUUAAUUUAUUUAAUUGUUUAUUUAUGUUGUUUCAAUUAUUUAAUUUCUAAACAUUUCAAAACUCCCCUGAUUUAUUUAUUUAUUUUUCAACAGGUCCGUUUAGAGCCGUGGGCACGAUUAUUGCCGUGAUUAUCGACACGACAAAAAUUCUAAUCACAAGUUAAAUGCGAAAGUUGAUUAUAAUACCAAUACCUGUGGAUUCAACCCUAUUAUCACUCUUUACUACUAUUUAGAGUUACUUUUGUAGGAAUUAUUUUUUGUGGUUUCAACGUCCAUCAAAAUUGAUAAGAAUUUUUUUUUGAAUUGAUAAAACUGUAUUAAGUCACCAAAUAGUAAAAUAGUUUAUUUAAAUUUCUACUUGAAAACAAUAUUAAGUAAUACAAUUAACAAUUUUAAAUAGACUGUAUGUUAUGGAUGGGUCAAUCCCCAAUAAUUAUUUUUUAAUUUAAUAUGGUUGCUGUAAAAUUUACCAAGUUAUUGUUAUGAUUUAUGCAAAAAAAAAAUAAAUAUAUAAAUUUAGGCUUAAAUGGUAUAUUUUUACGAUAGUAAAAAUGUGAUUUUAUCAUUUUAAUAGUCUAUAUUUUUAUAAUUUUUAAAAUAUUAAAUUAAAUUUUUAUUAUUUAGGGGCACAAUAUAAUUUUACUAUUACUAAUUUAAAAUUUUCUAUUUUAGGGGGAUUGAAACCCUGCCAGCCCCUCUGAUUUUGCCACUCAACUAUUACAAUGUAGUGUCUAUAAAAAGGAAUAUUUGGAUAUAGAAAAUAAUAGAUGAAAUUUAUAAGAUUAAAAUCAUAAUAAACAAUAGACGAAAUGCUUAAUCAAUGCCAACUUUGUUAACAAAACAUUGGUUAUCAGAACCCUGGGAUGAUGUGCCACCUUAUGCCUCCGCAUCCGAAUGCAGAUGAGACUCUACUAUAGCACGUAAAUAUAUACACACCACUUUACAUGUCAUAAAUACUCUUCAUUUUUUUCUUUAUCAUUGUCACCUCAAAUUAGAUUCCAUUAGGUCAAUCCGACCGGAAGCAAAUAAUACGUGGUAGAUACUGACAUGGCAAGAGACAGCUGUUUGGCUCGCGUCACUGCCGGCGUUGCCGUCGGAGGAGCUGUUGGCGGCGCCGUUGGUAAGUCUCCGACUUUUUUCCACUACUCACUAAAACCCUAAACCUCAUUGUUCUGCUUCUGGUUAUCAUAAAAAUAAUAAUAAUAAACAGCCACAAAUCAAUUGCAAAUUUCAAUUACAAUAAAGUUUAAUUAUUUGCAAAAGCAUGAAAUUAUCUAUUUUCUGUUUUGAAUAGUGACUCUGAAACUUAUUUCUAAAUUACUGUCAAUUGCAAUUACAAUAAUAAUUAUUAUUGUCAAAUUUUAAGCAUUUUCAAAAGCUUGAAAUUAUCCGAUUUCGGUUUAGUAUAGUGACUCUAGAACAAAUAAUAAGUAUCUUCAUAGUAUUUUCUUUUUCCUUUAGAUUAUGGAUUUUUCGGAUUUUAAUUUUCAGUGUUGAUAGUUUGCAGGGAAAGUUAUCGGUGAAUGCACUUGAGAGGUCCCUCUAUUAUAGAGACCUGAUCAAAUUAGUCCCUUUAGUCCCUGUACUAUUGAAACAAUCAAAUAAGUUCAAAUUGUAACAAGGUAACAUUUAAUGCAUAAAAGUUGUUGUUUACUGUUUCACAAAGUUAAUAUUUUUAAAGAUUUUAUGGUUCUGUAAAUGAAAUCUUUUGUUUGGAAUUGACCUGCAAUUGAAAAAAUAAUUUUCAAGACAUUUUUUAUAUGGUAAAUGUUAACUAUGUUACAAUUUGGACUUAUUUGAUUCUUUUUAAUAUAGGGACUAAAUUGAUCCAUUUAAUAAUAGAGGUACUAACAUGAUCCAGCCCCUAUAAUACAAGGAUCUUCGAGGUAUUUUAACUGAAAGUUGUUAGUAAAAGAAAGCGCCAGAUAAUCAAAGAAAACAUUGUUUAUUUUUCAAUUCAUAAAUUGAUUAAGGAAAAACUUGCUUCUGUGAUUUUCUUAAUAUGGUCUCAUUAUGAGUUCUAGCUAGCUAAUUACAUGUUUUGAGCUUGUUGCCUUCAUCAUUGAAAAGCUGUUUUCUUGUUUAAUAUUUGCUGUUAGAUGGAUGUGAUUAAGUGGGGAUAAAUUUAGCUAAUUACAUGUUUCAAUUGGCAAGUUAAAUUCCCUGGUAUAUUUAUAGUGAUGAUAUGUAGAAACUAUAGACUAGGAGACAAUGUAAUUGUGAACUUUUAGUUUUGCUCAUAGAACUGAAUAUUGUUAUUUGUCUUUUGGCACAUAAUAAAGCACAUUGGUCUCCGCUCCUUGGGUUACAGCUAUAAUAGGGCUACCCUUCUCCAUUCCAUUAAGCUGUCCUUCCUAAGAUUCGACCUUGAGACCUCUAAGCUGGAAGUUUAAGCUUUAACUAUUGGGGACGUAGUGCUGGAGUUUAGUGCAUAUGCAGAUAAUGGACAACCAUCAAGAAACAUGCAUUGCUAUUACUUUGUAGUAUAUUUGGAUUUUUACGGACAGUUGCACCAUUCAAGGAUAAUGUUCUCUGGGUGUCAAGAGAGGUUAGAAGGAUGAAGAUGGAUUAUUAGGAGAGGAAUUAGAUUACUGUAGAGAGGUGGAUUGCGAAAGGGGAUCAGGGGCAGGGGUGGGGGUGGGGAGGUCUUCUGUUAGAAUCUUUUAAAUGUAGCUGCUCUCUUUCUUUGUUGCUUUGAAGCAGUCCUUUCCUGGAUCAUAUAUUGUCCGUGCUUUGAUUUUAAUCUUUUAUUCUUGAACGGUAAAUAAGUUUCUUUUAUGUGAUUGCGCUUGUGCAGGUGCUGUUUACGGUACUUAUGAGGCUAUUAGAUACAAGGUAAUGUCCAACAUUUUACUUUUCUUUCAUGAAAUUAAACCAUGUUGAUUCUAUGUUUGCGUUUCUGCAUUUGCCACCCCAGUCAUAAAUAGUGAUAAAAUUUACAUGGAUCAUGAUCCGUAUUUUUAUAAACCUUGCAAAGAGGUCUUCCUGUGUCAUUUUGGUAUCUGGCCAUGUGAUGACUUGCCUGUGUCAUGGAUGAAACUUUUAACAAAAAUGACCAAUUUGCUCUUUGAUCUAAUUUAUAGAGACUAGUUUGUCCAUUUUUUGAGUAGAAGGGACAAAAUGCAAUCAAACUCUUAGUACAGAAGCCUUCAUAGUACUUUUACAGAUAAAAUCAUGAUUCCGUUGCUGGAGAUGACAUUGGCAUGUUUAAUGAGUACCUUAACAUUAAUGUUAAAUGCUAAAAGAAAGGUUUUGCGUGUAUUAAUAAUCUCAUUCAUUUGGAAUUGAUUCAUAUUGUGGCGAUAUGCAGGUCCCGGGACUUCUCAAGAUUAGAUAUAUUGGGCAAACAACUCUCGGUAGUGCUGCGAUUUUCGGUCUUUUUUUGGGUGCUGGAAGCUUGAUACAUUGUGGGAAAUCACACUGACUAUUCUUUGUUUGCCUUAUAACCUUGAGAUUAUAUUCUUUGGAUGAUGCUAGCAUAGUUUUUAGAUGGAAGGUGUAAAAUGCUUUUGCGUAACCUUUGGUUUUGUUUUUUUUCAGUUUCCAUGAAUCUUGCCCUAGAGUGGGUGAAAAUUUGAAAAUCAAUUACUUCAGUGUCACAAAUUUUCGCUUUUGGGUUUCGUUUUUUCCCCUUAAAGAAAACCCCCACUCAUUGUUAAAAAAGAACUCACUCAUAGCAGAGAUGAGUGCAUUUUAUUGACCUUUACUUUUGUCACUUUCAUCCACAUUGAACAUUAGGAAACCAUGUCUCGAUUUGCUCUGAUGUCCACAUUGAGCUUUAGGAGACCAUGUCUCGGUUCGCUAAGACGUGCAGGGCUAUUAUAAGUGCCAAAACUCAUCCGCAAGAGAUGUCUCUUCCGGAAAAAUAUUUGCCCUUCAUCAAUUUAUAUCAAAGAGAGUAUGAGUUUGCGAUUAAGCGCCACAUAAAAGAUAAAGAGCUUUCCUUUUCAACAUUGAACUUUCAUCCAGAUGUUCUCUUUGCUAUCAUCGUGGGUGCCCAAGGUACAUUGGAAUCUAUCUUGGGACAUACAAACCCUUAAAUUUUUCCUUCUUUAAGGCUUGAUCUUUGCUAAAGAAAAGAGAUGUUGUUGGAACAAUGGCAGCAGCAAACAUCAAACAAAGUUACAACACAGUGUUUGCAAGACUGAAGCAAGAAGAAUCGAAGCAAAGAAAGAGCAAAGCAAAGCAAAAAUUUGAUCAAAAUUGAAUACUCAGCAAAGUUGUAACUGAACAUUCAUCAUUUUUCAUUCAAAUUUGAAAUAUAAAAGAGUUACAAUGUACAUUGACAGUUACCUAAUGUAUUUAACUGCCCCAACUAAUACAAACCUAAUCACUAGCCAAAAAUAAUCAAAUAUAGCUGACCAAUCAGCCAUUACAUCAAAAGAUCUUAUCACUAACUUAAGUUUAACUAGUAUUACAAACAAACUAAAAUUGAACCGAACCAAAUUACAUCAAAACAAAACAGCAAAGUUGGUUGCUUCAUUCGGUUCAAAAACCAUUCGUGCGCACCAAGCAAAAUGAGCUGAGCUCGAUAGCUGCUGGUCUCGACAGUAGCAAGCUUCUGGCUCCAUGUUGCAUUGCAGUCCAGCUUUCAACACUCCUCCUUGGACUGUAUGCAACACAUUCCAAUUGCACUUCUCAAAGAUUCAAAUCGAUCAGCCCCUAAGGGCUUGGUCAUUAUGUCAGCCAAUUGUGCUCCUGAGCUGCAAUGCACAAGGCUGACUUCCUUUGCUUGUUCAGCCUCUCUAACAAAAUGCAGUUUGAUUUUAAAAUGCUUAAUCUUACCAUGGAACACAGGGUUCUUGGCUAUUGCAACUGCAGACUGAUUAUCCACCCAAAUUUCAGUUGCUUCAUCUUGAGUUUCAUUAAGGUCGUAAAGCAGCUUCCUUAGCCAAAUGGCCUGAUUAACUGCUCCUGCUGCAGCAAUGUACUCUGCUUCAGCUGUGGACUGAGCAACAGUUUGUUGCUUCUUUGAACUCCAGCAAAACAUGCCCGAUCCAAGUGUGAAGAAGUAUCCAGAGGUACUCUUCAUGUCAUCGAAAGAUCCUGCCCAGUCACUGUCAGAGUAGCCUUCUAGUUUCAGUUGGUUCCGACUUUCAAACAUUACACCAAAACUAGCAGUGCCCUUAAUGUAUCUAAGGACCCUCUUUGCUACCUUCAAAUGUGCCUCAUUGCAACAAUGCAUAAAUCUCGAUAACAGGCUGACACCAAACAUGAUGUCUGGCCUGGUUGCUGUUAGAUACAACAGACAACCAACUAGGCUUCGAUAGUGCCUCUCAUCAACCCUCUGCUGGUCACCACUGCUAGUCAGCUUUUCUCCUUGAGCCACUGGUGUGCUGACUGCUUUACAGUUAUACAUGCAAAAUUUGUCUAGGAUCUUCAAAGCAAAUGAGUGUUGGCUGAUGAAGAUACCUCGAUUAGACUGGUGCACUUCCAUGCCAAGGAAGUAAGUCAUGAUCCCCAAAUCUGUCAUCUCAAACACUUACUGCAUUUGGACCUUGAACUGAUCAAUGAGCUCAAUUUUGCUCCCUGUCACAAGCAAAUCAUCCACAUACAAGGAGACAAUCAGCAAGGUUUCAUGUUCUGACCUUUUAACAUACAGAGUAGGCUCACUAAGGCUCUUUACAAAUCCAAGUUUGGUCAGGUAAGCAUCAACUCUGUCAUACCAGGCCCUUGGUGCCUGUUUCAGGCCAUAGAGGGCCUUUCUCAACUUAUACACUUUGUCCUCAUGUCCAACAACUUCAAAACCUUCAGGUUGCUCGAUGAAGAUCUCCUCCUUGAGAAAACCAUUCAGGAAUGCUGAUUUGACAUCCAAUUGGUGAACUCUCCACUGCUUCUGAGCUGCUAAAGCAAACAGCAGCUUAAUUGUAUCCAGUCUUGCCACUGGAGCAAAAGUUUCUAGGUAGUCAACACCAUACUGCUGACUGUAGCCCUUCACCACAAGCCUGGCCUUGUGCUUGUUCAGUGAGCCAUCAGCAUUGUACUUGGCCCGGUACACCCAUUUAACUCCUAUGACCCUCUUGUGUUCUGGUCUGCUCACCAACUCCCAAGUCUGAUUUUUGUUGAUCAUUUCCAACUCAGCUUCCAUAGCUUUCAUCCAGCUUCUGUUCUUAGCAGCCUCUUCAAAGUCUGAGGGCUCAAUCACAGCAACAUUGCACCUCUGAUAAACAUCAGCCAAAGUUCUGGUGCCCCUUACUGGUAUAUCAUCGACAGCAUCAUUACUUGGUCCUUCUUCUACAGGUUCAGCAACCAAGUCUAACUGGUCCAAUUCAGACAAGUCAGUCUCAACACCAUUCCAAUUCCACACCUUUUCCUCAUCAAACUUUACAUCCCUGCUGACUAAAACCUUCUUUGCUGUAGGAUCAUACACUCUAUAGCCCUUCUUGUUGCUGCUGUAGCCAACAAAGAUUCCUGGAGUUGCUCUGCUCUCAAGCUUGGUCCUUUUCUCUACUGGAAUAAGUGCAUAACAUACACAGCCAAACACUUUUAAGUGUGUUACCACAGGUUUGACUCCAUGCCAAGCCUCAAAAGGAGUCUUAUCCUUGACUGCUCUAGUUGGCAGUCUGUUGAGCAGAUACACUGAGGUGUUGACUGCCUCAGCCCAAAACUGACUUGGAAGCUUGCCUUGAAACAAGAGGCACCUGGCCAUGUUCAGUACAGUCCUAUUCUUUCUCUCACAGACUCCAUUCUGUUGAGGAGUAUAGACUAUUGUGAGCUGAUGGUGAAUCUCAGCACUGUCACAAAGCUUCUGAAAUCUCUCAGACACAUAUUCAGAGCCAUUAUCAGUCCUCAAGGCUCUAAUUUUGCAGCCUGACUGAUUUUCAGCAUAAGCCUUGAAUUUGCAGAAGGCUUCAAACACUUCUGACUUUUGCUUCAAGAAGUAGACCCAGCACAACCUUGUUAAAUCAUCUAUAAACAGGGCAAAGUACCUGUUCUCACUGAUUGAAGGUGUUCUCAUAGGGCCACAAACAUCAGAGUGCACCAAUUCGAGCUUGUUUUGAGCUCUCCAAGCACUGUCAGCAGGAAAAGGCAGUCUAGCCUGCUUACCAAGCUGACAAACCUCACAAACAUUCCCACUAACUUCAAUUUUUAAAAUGUCAUCAACCAAAUUCAGCCUAUGUAACAGAUCGAUGGAUCUAAAAUUUGCAUGGCCUAGUCUCCUAUGCCACAAGUCAGUGCUUUCAACAAGGCUGGUGUAUGCCUUUCUUUCUAUUUGGCUAACAUCCAGCAUGAAGCACCUAUCAGUCAUAGAGACUGUGACUAACUCCAGACCAUUCAUGUCUUGAACAAUACAGCAACCAUCCUUAAAAACCAAUGUAUAGCCCUUUUCAACUAAUUGGCCUACACUAAGCAAAUUCUGGUCUAAGUCAGGUACAAAAAACACAUCUGAGAUCAGCUUGUUACCUGAACUAGUGCUAAUCAACACACUGCCCUUGCCUUUAGCCUCAAUCAGCCUACCAUCUCCAAUUCUAAUCCUCGAGUGGAAGCUCCUGUCUAGGCCUUUAAACAGCUUCUCAUCUGCUGCCAUAUGGUGUGAGCAGCCACUGUCUAGUAGCCAAUCAUUGCUGGCCUUGGUUGUUCCAACAAAACAAGUUGCUGUGAACACUUGCUCCUCCUGAGCUUGAAUGUCCUCAGCAGGUCUAGCUUGUUGCAGAGCAGCCUCCCUUGGUUUCCCCUUGCACACCUUCUCCACAUGGCCAAACUGCUUGCAUUUUCUACACUGAAUAUCUGGCCUAAACCAGCAAUACUUUUCUGAAUGUGUUGUCUUCUUGCAAUGAACACAUGGUGGGAACACCCUUUUUGCUUCAUCUCUUCCUGACUUGACCCUUCUAUUGUGCCAAGGCUUCUUGCCUUUUGCACUCACACUCGAGCCUUCACUGGCUUUAGCCUGGAAAGCAGCUUCAGGAUUCUCCUCCUGCCUAUUUGCCCUCCUUUGCUCAAGUGCAUACAGGGAGUUUAUCAGCUCAGACAAUGAAAUGGCUGAUAAGUCCCUCGAGUCCUCAAGUGAAGAGAUUUUAGACUCAAAUUUCUCAGGGAGAGUUGUAAUAACCUUUUCAACAACUCUGCUCUCUGUGAAGUCCACUCCCAGGGGCCUAAUGCUGUUGACAAUGGCCAUUAUCCUGUCUGAGUACUGCUUGAUGGUCUCAGACUCCUUCAUCCUCAAAUUUUCAAAGUCUCUCCUGAGGUUGAUCACUUGCUGUUGCCUUGUCUUAUCAGUCCCCAUGAACUCCUCCUUCAGCUUCUCCCAAGCCUGCUUUGGUGAGUCACAGGCCAUGAUGCGAGUAAAUAUCACAUCAGAGACUCCAUUUUGCAAGCAGGCCAUAGCCUUAUGCUUCUUGGCUCGCUCCUCAGUAUGUUGCCUCAUCUGUGCAAUGGUGGGAUUGGCUCUCAAUGGAGGUGGUUCAGCAUCAUUCUCGAUCACACUCCAAAGAUCAUGUGCCUGGAGAUAAGUCUUCAUUUUAACUAUCCAAAUGUGAUAGUUUUCUCCAAUGAACACUGGUGGAGGUGGUGGAGUGAAACUCAUUCUGCUAAAUUGAUUUUAAGUGCUUCAAUCUUACCAAAUUUUGAACUUGCUGUUGGUUUUGAUUCGAACACAACAGAUUGCAUACAAAGGCCCCUCAAAGACUCGGGCUCAUGAUACCAUUUGUUGGAACAAUGGCAGCAGCAAACAUCAAACAAAGUUACAACACAGUGUUUGCAAGACUGAAGCAAGAAGAAUCGAAGCAAAGAAAGAGCAAAGCAAAGCAAAAAUUUGAUCAAAAUUGAAUACUCAGCAAAGUUGUAACUGAACAUUCAUCAUUUUUCAUUCAAAUUUGAAAUAUAAAAGAGUUACAAUGUACAUUGACAGUUACCUAAUGUAUUUAACUGCCCCAACUAAUACAAACCUAAUCACUAGCCAAAAAUAAUCAAAUAUAGCUGACCAAUCAGCCAUUACAUCAAAAGAUCUUAUCACUAACUUAAGUUUAACUAGUAUUACAAACAAACUAAAAUUGAACCGAACCAAAUUACAUCAAAACAAAACAGCAAAGUUGGUUGCUUCAUUCGGUUCAAAAACCAUUCGUGCGCACCAAGAAAAAUGAGCUGAGCUCGAUAGCUGCUGGUCUCGAUAGUAGCAAGCUUCUGGCUCCAUGUUGCAUUGCAGUCCAGCUUUCAACAGAUGUUUUGUCCACAUUUACCAAAACACUAUGGUACAACUGAAGAUAUGAUUAGUUUUUGUUUAUACGUGAAAAUGAUGCAUUUAAAGACCCUAGUGACUGAUGACAGGGGUGACGCUAGCGGCAGAUGUCAUAGUCCACUCGUGAGCAGGCCAUCCAAAGGUGUGGAGUAGGUCCCUAGUGCAUUAGAAAAAAAAAACUUGAGUUAAUUUGCAUUUAAAAGCAAAGUUGAGUUGGUCUGGAGACAAUCUCAUUUAGGUAUUUAGGUCUCGAGAUGAGUUGUCUUUGUUUUGAGAUGAGAAAAUAUUGAAAGCUUUAUCCAACUCUUUGUCUUGAGACAUUCAAACAUCGAAGCAAAAAUAGAAAAAUAGGGAAGGUUUGUCUCAAGACUUGAGGAAUUCUGUCUUGAAACAUGAUAUUUAUUGUAUCGAGACAUGCUUAUAUAAAAGUAAAAAAACUAAAAUUAAAAAUGAAGCCUAUCUCAAAACAUGGGAUCUCCUGUCUCGAGACAUAAAUUUGACAUUUUAAUUUGGAUUUGAAUCCUAACUUUGAAUUUGACUUAGUAUAACUCUAUAUUGGAAUGAAAUAGAUUCUUAUGUUCCAUAAAUGUAUGUAUUUGAUCAUAAUGAAUAAGUUUAUUGUUUUAAAUGAUGAUUAUGAAUUUAACUGUGAAAUUAUGUCAAGUUAAUCCAAAUUGCUUCAGCAACGUAAUAUGAAGUCACAUAUUUAGAUUUGAAAAUCGAGUCAGGUGUGAGGUGUCUCACUCAAGUUGGGGUUUUGAGAGACACAGACAUAGUGGAGGAGGUAGUGCCUAUUACUGUUGGCCCCCCAAAGGUUUAAGGGAGUCAAAUAGAGGAGAAAAGAGAAGGUGGAGAAACCUCUGCACAACGAGACAUUACAGAGAUCGAUGAUUUGCUGUCAAAUUUCUUACAUGGUCACACAAACAAUUUUGAUGCAUCCGCCGUUUGCGGAUGAAUAUAUGCAAUGCAAUAUGAUCUCAAUAAAAUUUCAAAUUUAAUUUUUACUUAAUCCCAAUUUCCUUUACAUUAUAAGUGUAAAAAACUAAUUAGCUGAAAUAAAUCCUAUACCAUUUAACAUUAACCCUAAACGUGUACAAAAUCUUAACUCUCGACCUUCUUCGCCUGCAUUGGUAUAGAAUAUAUAAAAUCUCAAGAGUUCCAUGAAUGAGUUUGUAGAUAUUAUUGCUCGUAACAAGCUAGGCAGUUCUCUUUGCACCUUCCAGUGCAAUAUUCACAACCAAGUAUUUAACCAACAUUUCAUACCAAACCUUCUCCCUAUGGUGCCCCUCGUCACAAAAUGCCAUAAUCUAUCUAACUUUAUGUGCUACAUAAAUAAAUGUUUCCCUUAAAAUAUUAUAUUUCUACAUUUUUAGCCUAAGAUUAGUGUAACACAAAAAUAAGUUUCUGCAGCAGCCGGUUUACAAAAAUUAUGUGUUCAACAAUGCAUGUGUUGUUAUGGCUCAGAACGAGAAGCAAAGAUUAAUCUUGAUUGCAUCUCAAGAUUAACCUUUGCUUCUCAUUCUAAGUACAAGAAUUAGUUUAACAAUAAAAAUUAAUGAAAUUUUUGAUAAAAUAAUCAACUUGCUUUUAAAUCUAACAUAAAAAAAUUAAUUUAUUUAUUUGUUCAGUAAAGGAGACAAAAUGCAAUUUAAAUCUUAGUAUAUUUUAAUAUAAAGGCCUCCAUGAUGCUUUCACCACCGAAGAAUAAUGAGAAGACACUGUAAAGGAGACAAAAUACAAAUUAAAUCUUAGUAUAUUUUAAUAUAAAGGCCUCCAUGAUGCUUUUACCACCGAAGAAUAAUGAGAAGACACUGUAACACCAUAAAUCUUAAUUUAUGGCCAUCUAAAUCAUUACAGAUAGAUAUUAGUUUUACAGGCAUAAAAGUUACAUCUUUCCCAUCAUGUAUUUGAUGCAUGGAUAAGCAAGAGUGUUUGCCCUCUACAAACCAAAAAAUACAUGACCAAAAGACCCAUAAAGCUACCAAAAAGAUACACUAAUCUAUUGCUUGGGAUCACAACAAAACAGAAUGAGGGCAGAUUUACAGGCACAACCCCAUCACUGCUCUUUCCAUAUCCUUCCUGUCACUCUAAGCUUCAAUUCUUUCCGGUCUCCCCCUGAGAAGAACAAAGCCAUGUUGCGUUGGAUAAUGAGACCAUCGAAACUAUCACGAAUCUUCCGGUGACUGUCCCUUAUGCUCCUAGGCACCCCUUGCCAAAUCAGCUUCCUCCCGUUCCCACCCACCUCGAGGCUGUAGCUAUAGUUCUUUGCCUCGUUAUUGUCACCCAUAAACCGCAAGAAUGCUAUAUAAACAGGAGCUAAUCCGAUAUGGAAUGCUUCAAAAUGCAGGCAAAAGUACUGACCAAAGCAACUGAAAACCUAGAAAUUGAGAAAACAAAUCCAACUAUAAGUUGCAUACCCUUUGCAAAUCCUUUAUAUGAAGUAUAAAAAUACAUAUAAAAACAAUUUCUUAUCCAAAAGCAGCUUUCAAUUUUAUGUAGCAAACCAACUUCAAUAAAUUGUCCCAUCUAUUAUUGUAUUCUUCUCCUAGAGGGUUGGGAAGAAACCAAAUUUGAUAAAUAUAAAGCAAGAAUAAAGCAACGGUACCGUUAGCAUCCAUGUAGCAUUCUCAACCUCAUGUGGAUUUGAUUUGACAUAGCGGUGGUUAAAGGUGCAGCCAUUGUGCAUAUCGACUUUGUGAUCAUCUUUUAGGUGGGCCACUAGAUGAGGAAUAUCACCAAUGACUGUGCAUUCUGACCCAGCAUAGGGGCAGCCAUAUGGUCUAUAAGAACAUUGAUACUCGUGUUUUGGCUUGCUAUAAUAUGGAUAUAUGCCAUUGCACCCAAAGCUUUGAUAUUUACAGGGAAGCUCAAGAGAAGCAGCAAGUUUCUCCAAAGCAAGACACCUAAUAUUCCCGAGUUCAUGCCUGCACGUAGGGCACCGGUUGUCAACCUUUGGCUUGCAACCAGAACACAAUGUGUGACCAUUUAAACACUGCAUAAAGAAAGUAAACCAGCAGUUAACUUCAGUAUUAAGUUCCAUGUUAAGUUACGAUAAUGGCUGUAUAACAAAGUAAUAUACGACAUAAUAUUUACAAGGCAAUAAAGGGGAUUCUGAUGCAAGAAUUUCAUGCCAUUACACUACCAAGCAUACAUUGUAGCAUUAUUUCCCAGUGUGAAUCUUCCAUUUUCAGGGGCGCAUUAAUAUGAAUAUUGAUCGAUUUUUCCCCCUUCCAAAUUCCAUAUCAAGUUAACAAAACUUACUUCUGCGACAUCAUCAAGUCUAUAAAUAAAUCAGGGUUUAGUGUAAUGAUUAGAAAAUAAAUGUAAAACAACAUUCAAGGAUAAUGAAAACACGACACAUUGAGGCUUCAUGACCUUAUCAACAUGUGAGGUUAAAUCUAUCAGCAUAAUGGAUAGAGUGCGAUAAAUAGAUAUCAUCUUGCACAAGGUAGUUUAAAAACGAUGACUAAUUACUUUAUUAAAAGUAAGGCAUCAAUCAUAAGGUGUGAUAUGAAACCAACCUGAAGAAUUGGUGGGUACAUCGAAUUACAACAAACAGGGCAUUCCAAAAGCUCUCGAACACUGCUAGACACAGUCCCAUUAGGUUUUACAGCAGCUUGAGAAGGAAUAUUCAGAGACUCACAAUCCAUAAUGUCUUCAUUUUGUGGAUGAUCAAUAGCCUCACCCUUGUUCUGCAAGUCAUCGAAAAACGGAUUCCCGGAUGCCAUGCUAGUAUCCAUUCCCAGUCUGGAAAUGAAAAUUGCAGAAAUCAGUUAACAUUCCACGUACCAUAAAAUGUUUAAUAUGAACAAAAACUGAAGCAAGAUUAUAAGAUAGUACAUAAUAGUCUCAUUCAAAUUCCAAAAAAUAAAAGUACUUUUAACACAUCAGCUUAAGUGAUGGGUAAAAAAGCACUUUAUCUGCUGAAAGAAAGCAUAAUUAUAUGUAUAUAUGAAGAAAGAAUAAUCAAACAAAAAGAUAAAGACUGAUGUUUUACUUUUCAAAAGUUCAUCAAAAAAUAAUAAGAUGAAUAUAAUUAAUCAAUGAUUGAUUAUUUGAGUUAAAACCAACCUAAUUAUCAGUCUAUAAUAACAGUCGAGGUCCCUCAAUGCCAAUCUUCAAAAUUAAUCAAUCAAUUUACAACGAAAUUUUCUGAAAUAUAUUAAAUGACAACAUAUGCUUACCACCCAAUUUUGUUAAACCCUCAAACGUCACCCUUUUUCUGUCUUAAGUUCAUCGGCUGGCUGUAAAUUCAUCAGAAAAUUAGGUUAAACUUAAUUUUCCUCUUAAUUCCCAACUAAAAGUGGGGAAAAAAUUCAGGUAACAAAAAAAUGGAAAAUCCAGUUGUAUUGCCAAACCAAAUAGGCAUUAUAUAAAAAAGAAAAACAAGAAAACAAAAAUCUAAAAAUUCCAAAAAUAAAACCAAUUUAAAGACUAUAACGGAUCUAAAGGAACUUAAAAAAAAAAAAACCAAAACCUCCAAAAGAGAAAUCCCAGAAAACCCACCUUUAGUUCGAACUAAAACAACCCAAUUGAAUCAAAAACAGAAAAAUGGAAAAACCAUUGGGAAAAAAACGAGUGGACGGCCUCCCAAAAUGAAGAAUAUGAGAAUUUAUAAAGAAAUGGGCGGAUGUUUCUUUGUUUUUCCUUUUUUUUUUUUUACUUUCUAUGAAAGUAACAAAUAGCGACAAAAAAUUGAAGCCGAGAAUUUCAAAUUGAGAAGAGCGAGCGAUUGAGCGUGUUUGCCUGUUUCGAAAUAGGAUUGAGAGAGAGAAAUUUUCCCGAGAAAGUACAAAACAAAAAAGAGAAAGAAAAAAGUUUGUUUUUUUCUUUGGAUAAAUAUACCUUUUGGUACUUGAAUUUGGUCCUUGUUCAAAUUAAGACAUUUUAGUCCCAUCAUUAAAAGUGGGAUGAUGUGCAUUAAUCAAGUUGUUAUGUGUGGUAUAUAUGUCAAAUCAUCAAUUGAAUGUAUUUUCUACAUUUUUAAAAAUAAAUAAUAAUAAUAAUUAUUAUUAUUAUAAUAAUUAAAUUUUAAAAAAAAUUAGCUAACAUUUUAGAAAGUAAAAAAAAUCUUACAAUGAAAACCUGUGUUGACUUGACGGCCCAGGUGUUAACCACCCUAGAUAUGACCUGAGUUUGAGUCGCACAAGUAAAAUUCAUGUACCAAAAGGUAUAUUUAUCCCUUACUAAUUACAGUUACAAUUAAUACAUGAGAUAAAUUUUAAAUUUAUACAUAAACUUUGAUUUAAUUUACAAUUUGAUACAUGAAUUUUAAUUUGGUACAACUAUACACAAUAAACUUUGAUUGUGGUUUAAAUGUAUACACGAAACUUUAAUCUCAAUUCAAUCAUACACAUUUAAAGAAAUAAAUACAUCAAUUUAUUUUUAUAUUAGAUUAAUAUAAUCAUUUUUAUAUGCAAUAUAUAAAUAUAAAAUGAUGUUAUAUCAAUAAUUAUGAUAAUAAUUUAUGAGAAUUUGAUCAAAUCAAAAGUUCAUGUAUGGUUUUAAGAUUUAUCCCAUUAAUGCAUACAUAUAAUAACUACACUUGGAUCAAUUAGUACAAUGCAUAGAUAAAAUUACAAUUACAAUUUUCAUAUAACUACGACUAGAGUUAAACUAUUAUAAUGCACAAACAGACGAACAAAUAGCAACAAUGUACUCGAACUUUGACCAAAAUAAAAUUGGACAAGACCUACACACAAUGGGACUGGAACCAAACUAAAAGCUAAAAUAUAUAUUGUUGAUACAAAGUAAAACAAGGGAGGAAGACAAGGUCGAACGAGGAGGAGAUCAAUGUAACGUAAUAGAGGUUGAUUGAAAAGAUAAAUGCUCAUAGUAAUUCUAGGGUAUAUAAAGGGUUAAUCCCUUUCCCAUGGUUUUCCAUGGUAUUUAUAGGAAAAAAUCUCAUUAUCCAUUGGUAUAAUAUUAGCUAGAUAAGCAUUUAAUCAUGUUAAACGCGUAAUGGAUAAUCAUGGGCACGUAUUAUAUGAUUCCAUUGGUACAAGGUAAUUAAGUUUAAAUAGACUUCUUAUUAGCUUGGAAGAGUGUUCACAUUAAGAUAAUAGUUUCCUAUGAACAUGGGUGGUAAGUUUCGUUUGAAGUAAGUCGGAUGAUUGUGCUUAGAAAAUCAAUGCAGAGUCAACAAUGCUUUUUGGGCUUGACACAUCUUUCUGACAGGGUAUAAAAUAUCAAAACUUAAACCGAAAUAAAUUUGGACAAAACUCAUACAUUGUGAAACUUAAACCAUAAAAGCAAUUGAAACAAAAAAACUAACGCAUGGUAGGACUUCAAUCUAAGACCUCAGCCUUUGAUACAUGAUUUGACUACUAAACUUAAAUCAUAACAUUGUCAAACUCUCAAAAAAAAAAAGUUAAUGCAUGAUUUGACCAUUAAACUAUAUUGUUUUUGCCACUUUGAUACAUAAACAUUUUCUUUUUACCCAGAUUGAUACUUAAAUUUAUUUUUUAUUAUUCAAUUUAAUCCAAUGACAAUAAUAUACUGAUUGACUCAUGACAUCUACUAAAAAUGAAAUCAUGGCAGUUCUAACUAUUUAGAAUAUGACAUAUGAUGUUGGUGUGUAUUAAAAUUGAAUAUACAUUUAGAUAAAUUCUAAAAAGUCAGUUAAUAUAAAAAAAAUAAAAAACAAGUAAAUAUUUUAGAAAAUUAUGGUUGACUUUGACGACUCCCAUUAACCGGUGUUGACUGAAUUUUAAUUUGAUUUUUUAAUAUUUUUUAAACUUCAAUAAAGUUUUUAAAAAAAUUAUAUAUUGAGUUUUAUUUUUCAAAAAAAGUGUUCUUAAAAAAUUAAUUUAUAGAAUUUAUUUACUUCAAUCUUUCGAGAAUUUAUAUGAAUUUUUUUAUUUUUGUAAUUUAAUUUUUUAAGUGUAAUUUAAUUUCUAAAUUUUAAAAAUAUAUAUUUUCUAAUUUUUUAAUGUUUUAUUUUUGGGUUUAAUUUUUUAAAUAUUUUUAAAAUUAUUGUAGUUAUUCUAGAGUUUAUAAAUAUAUUUCCAACUUUGAUUUUUUUUGUAAUUUUCAAAAUUAUAACUAUUUUUUAUUAUUUUCAUAUUUUAAUUUAUAUUUAUAUAUUUUAGAAUUUUCUAAUAUAUAUUUAAUUUUAGAAAAAAAUUAUUUUUUAGAAUUUCAACUAUUUUUAAAUUUUUAUUUUUUUGAAUUUAUAUUUAUAUAUUUUACACUUUUCUAAAAACUUAUUUUUAAAGAUUCUUUUAAAAUUUAUAUAUAGAUGUUCAAUUUCUAUCAACAUAGAUGUCACAUGCCAUAUUAUAAUUAAAUUAAAAACGUUACGUGAUGCAUUCUGAUAAGCAGCGUGUCUCGCCUUUUUUUAAUACUUUUAUAUGGCUAUUGAGCUAAAGGUAAAAAUAUCAUAGAUGUCUUUAUAUUAGGAGUCAGAUUACAUUCUGCAUUUUCUAUUAAGAAAAUAAUAAGUUAAUCUUUUUUGUUAAAAAUUUCAUCUAUUUGUAUCGUUAAAAAUUACUGUGACUUACACAAUAAUCAAACAGUAGAAACAUAUCAAUUUUUUAACAGAAUGACUAAUUUGCUCUUUAAUCUAAUGUAUAGAGUCUAAUUUACCCAUUUUUUUAAGUAUAAGAAGCAAAACAAAAUCAAACUCUUAAUGCCGAGGUUUCUAGGGUACUUUUAUCUUUACUAGGCCGAAAUAUGAAAUAUACGACUUUUAAGGACUAAUAUGAAAGAAAUUGAGUACUAAAUGAGAAAAUUUAUAUAGAAUUUUCAAGGGUGAGGCAUAAUAAAAAAGUGGUGAUAUUUGGAAAAGGGAAGGGAGUAGGGACCAUUACAUGAUAUUUAUAAAUUUUAAAAUAAUGAAGGGGGGAGGGAAAUUUGUACGUUAAUUUACUUCUUGCGCGUACGUAGGGCGCGUGGAGAAAUUGAAAAGAUUGAAAUGAAAUGGAAGGAGCAAAGACGGAAACAGGGGCGGCGCCCGGCUUUUAAGGUCUACUGUUUCCUAAUCCUACUUUUUAACUGUUAAAUCACUAUUUAAGACCUAAAUUUAGUAAUUAUUUUUAUAAUUGGUCUAAACUUUUUUCAUCUAAAUUAAAUCCUAAAUUUGAUAAUUAUUUUUAUCUUGAGGUCUAAACUACACAAUUAUUCUCAGAUUAAAGUUUGAAUUUUUUUAUCCAAAUUUGUCUCCGAACUUAUCAAUUAUUUUCAUAUUAAGAUCUAAACUUGACAAUUAUUUUCACAUUGAAUCUGAACUUUAGGGCUUUUAAGGAAAAAAUCAAGUCUUAAUUUGGACAAAAAAAAAGUUUGGGCCCAAUGUAGUAACAAUUGACAAUUUUAGCGUUUUAACUUGGAUCAAUAAAAAAAAGUUCAAGCCUCAAUAUAAAAAUAAUUAUCAAGUUUAGGCCUCAAAAAGUGAUUUAACCUAAACAUGCUCAUGGAUCGACCUGACCCAAAAUAUGAGCUUAAAAUUUUACUUAAACCUGCUCAUAUCUGUAAAAAAAAAACUAACUCAAGCCUAUUUUAGGCUUGUCUAUAUUAUUUUUAAAAAUAUUUAUUUUAUUUAUUGAAUUUUUUAUAUAGUUAUCUUAACAUUAUUUAAUUGUUUACAUUAUGGUAGUAUUAUAUAUUUAGUAUAAAAUUUUUUAAUGUAUUAUAAAUUACAUAAUAUAAAGUACUAUAAACUUAAAAAUGGGUCAGGCCAGACCGAGUUUGAGCAUUGAAUGUUUAAGCCCGAGCUCAACCCAUAUUUUUAACAGGCCUAAUUUUUUUGCCUAAGCCUAUUUUUCGAACCUAAUAUUUUUGCUUAAACCCUUUCAAAUUUCGGACGAGACUUCAGGCAUAGAUGGAUAGCCCGACCCAUUAAUAGGUCAAAUUUAAUCCUAUCAAUUAUCUAUUUCGUCAAUUUCUAAAGGGUUAGAAAAACAAUUAAGAAAAAUUGAAACAACAAAAUUAAAUAAAGUUAAUAAAAUAUAAUGAUUUUGAUGCGUGUAGAACACUUUGUUUAAAGCUUUAAAAUUCCUCUAAGAUACAACAAAUACGUCAACAAUCCAAGCCCAAUACUGAAAAUGAUUAAUAAUAACUUUGAGUGGAAUCAAAUCUCAUUCAUUUUUUGUAGCCCAUUUAGUUCAUGGGUGGGCUUCCUUAAUAGUCCCAUUCAACUCUUUUGAAGGUUGCUUGUGGUCGUGUAUUUCAAACACUAGCAUCAAAGAUUGUAGUGUAGGCCCGUAUUUAAUGGGGAUAGAGAAGUAGGUGGCCUACUUACUAGUUACUACCAAGUUUGUACACAACAUGCCCCUCGUCUGCUCCCUUUUCUAUAUGCAAUUUCCUUUUUUUAUGGUAAAAGCUUGAACCGGAAGUGAAAUUCAUAGAAUGAGAGCAACUCAUCAGAUCAAGCAAUGCACAACUAUCUACUAAGGGAAUAGUGUUUGUGUCAUUUAGGGUUUGGGUUCAAACUUUAUUAAUGAUAAAUGAGCACCAUUUCCUUGGUAAGAGGUUGUGCAUCGCAUAGCCCAAUUCGACAAGAAACUUCUAUUCCAUGAAUCUCACCUCUAACUUGGCUCUCGAGAGAGUUAGGAGACAAAAUCCUAGUUCGACUUAUGGGCAAUAUUGACUUGUUGAUGGUCCGUCGACUCUGGGUGGGCGACACUUUGAAUACUUUCCAGAAGGAGUCUAGCUUACUCUUAACAAUUCGUGUUUGGUUUACAUUCGUUAAAAAUCAAAAUUUGUGUCUAUGAUCAAUUAUUUAAAAUUAUGUAUGUUUACAUUCAUUUGUUUAAGUUAAAUGAACUUGUUAUUGUACAUUAAACAAACAUUCUUAAGAACACAUUUGAGAAAAUAUUUGUUGAUACAUGAUACCAAUAAAAGUGGACAAUAAGGAGGAGAACGGUACUGAAAAAGGCCAAUUAAUCCAUUUUAGAAUCGAGAAUCGAAUAAGAAGAGGGACUAAGAAUGAAUUCGUAGAGUGUAUUAGGGCUUUAUUCAUUUGCUAUCUUUUCCAUGCUUAUCUUAACUAAGUUCACCAUAUCCUAUAUCGAUUUUUACUAUUUUUAUUUAAUUAUUAAAACAAACAUUUGACGAAAAUUCAAUAAAAAUGACAAAAAUAGUUUAAUCCCCACAUCAUAUUCCAAUUUUAAAUUACAAGAUUGCAUAAAAAUUGACAAAAACAUCAUGUUUUUUCUAAAAUAAAUAAAACCCCACCUUACCUUACCAAACACCAUAGAAACAGAGCCUUAAUAGGCCCAAAAAAUCUUCACUAAAAUUUUCAAUUGUUUUUCACACACAAAACAGAGACCUUCCUCAAGUUUCCCAUCAAUGGCGGCUAACAAGAAUUCCCAUCUGGGUUUCUCUUUAAUUUCUCUAAUCUUUUUGUUUUCAAUCCCUAAAUCAGUCUCAGCCCUUGAUCCUCAACCCGCAGUUUGGGAUAUGCUUCCCAAAUACGGUCUCCCUAGUGGGCUUUUACCCAGCACAGUCACCGAUUAUGUCCUCCACGAAGAUGGGAGGUUCAUCGUCACGUUGGGCAGCCCUUGCUACGUUCAAUUCGAGUACUUGGUCUACUACGAUAAGACCAUAACCGGAAAACUGGGUUAUGGUUCCAUUACUGAUUUGAAAGGUAUUCAAGUGAAGCGAUUCUUGUUUUGGCUCGAUGUCGAUGAGAUCACCGUCGAUCUGCCACCUACCGGUUCUAUCUAUUUCCAAGUUGGGUUUAUCAACAAGAAGCUCGACGUUGACCAGUUCCAGACCGUCCAUUCUUGCCGUGAUGGGGUUACUGGCUCUUGUAAAUAUUCUUGGAAAUCAGUUCUUCAGGUAUUUUCCCGUUU
rnacentral:lncRNA from 1 species